CAACAACAACAAACCCAGUGUAUUCCCACUUAGUGGGGUCUGGGGGGGUAAGAUGUACGCAGUCCAUACCUCUAGCUUAUUGAGUUCUGUCGAACCUAUAGCUUUUCCCCUAGUAAUAAUGUUCAAAUAUCUUUUGAUUUGAAGUGUGUUUGGUAUUACUGAAAAUAUUUUUCAGAAAAAUGUUUCUCAAAAUUAAGUUAUUUUGUGGCGUAUGAUUUUCUAAAUAUGAGUUUUUUCUCAUUGUAAAAGGGAAAAUAACUUUCUCACUUUUGUGUGAAAUGAUUUUUUCUCACCAAAAAGGGGAAAAUAACCAACUUCCUUUAGGACAGAAUUCAUUUUCCUUUUGUUACUCUAAACUUCGCAUCAUUUUGCACACUUGACAUUAUUAUGAAUCUUUAACGUUUUUUAUCAAAACACUAUCAGAUUUUUUUAACAGAAUUAUCGAUUUUCUAAUGAAGUGUUUUUCAGUAAAAUGUUUUGUUUUUUUAGAAAAAUAAGUCUUUUCCCUGUAAACAUUUUUUGGUCUAUGAAACCAGAGUUCUUUUUUCUUGUAUGUGGUGUUGGUGUUUGCACCAAUUUGUGUGAACCUUGACUAAUCUGGGAGGAGGGGGAGGGUGGGUGGGAUGGGGUGGCGGGGGCAGCCUGUCUUACUUGCCAACAGGUUGCUAAGGUGAAUCAUGCUUACCAAGGUUGGAGCAAAUGGGCUCACACCUAGUGUUAUAGCUAGGAGUUGAAGCUGAAAUCUCCUAAUUGCUCAAUGCUUCAACCAUUAGGUCAUCCACAGGAAAACUAUGUGCUUGGACUCUCCAAAAAUAUUGCCGCAUCCGUGUUGGAUCCUCAUAAAAUGCACUACUUUUGAAUGAUCCGACACGAACUCUGAGUUUUUAUGAAGAGUCCGAGCAACAUAGCCGGACAAUGUUUUAUGAGUUUCCCGCCUCUAUUUUCUUUCCUAUCAUUUUCUUUUUCUCUUCUGUUGCCAUGAGAUAUUUACCUCUCAAAACUGAAAAUAUUCAAUACAAGGAGGAGGAAUAGGCAAUAAAAUGUUUUGAGGCUAACAUAGCCUAAAAGGGCAAUCCAGUACAUUAAAGCUACCGCUAUGCACGAGGUCCUGGGAAGAGCCGAACCACAAGGGUUUAUUGUAUGCAGCCUUACGUUGCAUUUCCAACAAGAGGCUGUUUUCAUGGCUUGAACAUGUGACCUCCCAGGUCACAUGCCAACAACUGUAUAUAUGUAAACGUUAUACUUUGCUUCGUUAUUAAACAGUAUAAUUUAUUUAGAGUUUCAACUUUAACAGAUACUAUCAAACUUUACCUUCUAUAUAUAGUGCUAAGCACGACAAGAUAAAAUCAUUCUCGAGGUUUGCCAUCUGCACUUGUAUGCUUCCCAAUUAAAAUCCAGUUCUCCAGUUAUGUAGACUGAAAAAUCCCCCGAGUGCACUCAUUGUUAUCUAGAGCAACUAGGUACUUACCCGUUUAAUGGCCUUAUGUAUUGUGUUCUUUCUUUCUUUUUCAGUAUCUUAUUACAAAUUUCAGCGAUUUCCAGUUGACUUGUCUUGGAGGUUUCAUUGUUCAUGAGAGUGUCUUCUUCCUGUCUGGACUCCCUUUCAUUCUUUUUGAAAGGGCAGGGUGGUUUGGCAAGUACAAAAUUCAGGUAUUACUUUUUGCUUUUCUAAUGGAAUGAUAUUUCUUGAUUAAAAUGAUUACAAACAUCAAUAAUAUUCUACUUAAGACUCGUGUACGAGUUCUGUUUUUGUUUGCAUCAGUUUCUGGAUAAAAAGAUCUGAAUUUUUGCUAGAGCAUUUGAGUUUAGCACAAGUACUUUGAUGAAAACUGGUUAUGAUGUUUCGCGUUCAUAGUAGUUCAUUCUGUCAUUAUUCGGAUGAAUUUUCAUUUUGUUGCAUUCUUGACCUAUUUGUGCAGAAGAAGAAUAACACCCCGGAAGCUCAGACGAAAUGUAUUACUCGUCUGGUGAUGUAUCAUUUGUGUGUUAAUCUUCCAAUUCUGCUUGUAACAUAUCCUGUAUUUAAAUUCAUGGGGACGCGAUCUACUCUUCCAUUGCCGUCCUGGUAUUUUCUGGUUCUCUAUAUACGAAGCUUUAGUUGUGUGAUGGCAACACAUAUUCAUUUUAUUCAUUUUUCUGGUCCUGCGAUCUCCGUUUCUUUUGUUUUUGCUUUCUAUGUCUUCAUAAUUUUGUUUUUAGAGAAUGUCCCGACAACAAAACCAUGAAACCAUUAUGUGAGACUGAAUAUAUGCAUUGCAAGUUUAGAAUGUCAGACCUCUAUGGUCCAACAUAUCCACAAGAUGAUUAUAUUGUUGAAAAAUGUGAAGGAUAAGAUGGAUGUGCAGCUUUAUAAGAUUUAGAAAUAAUUAUAUUCGAGAGAAGGUGCACGUAGCCUCACAUUGAGGAUAAAAUGAACGAAGUUUUUCUGUGAUGGUCUAGUCAUGUGAUUCAUGUCCUACAUGGACUCGAGCUCACUGGAAUAUAGGCAGGUGAAAUCAUGGUGGUUGAAGGUGUUAAAACAGAACAAGGUAGAUCUAAAAUCAUAUGGAAGAAGUUGUCUUGAAGAGAUUAUCAUCCCUUAAAUUCAUUCAAACUUAUAGAAAACAUGAUACAAUGGAAAAGAAAAGAACCCAUAUGGAUGGAUAAAUGAGGAUUCAUGCAGCCGUCUCCAACUAGCUUGACUUGAGGCGUAGUUGUAUAAUUUCGCAGUAGUUGUAGAGCUUUACUUUUCUGUUUAUUCAUUUGAGUAAAUUGCAAAAUACUUUUGCAGGAAAGUGGUUGCAACGCAAAUAUUAUUCUAUUUCAUCAUAGAGGAUUUUGUAUUUUAUUGGGGUCACAGGAUUUUACAUACCAAAUGGCUCUACAAGCAUGUCCACAGUGUCCAUCAUGAGUAUGUGAACUACAUUAUGUUUUCUACUUCAGUUCUUUGAGUUUUAAAUUUUUUGCCAAUGAAGUCAUAGCUUCUGCUUGUUUCACUAGGUACGCAACACCAUUUGGGUUGACUUCCGAGUAUGCUCACCCUGCUGAAAUUCUCUUCCUCGGUGCUGCUACAAUAGUUGGUCCUGCACUCACGGGGCCGCAUUUGAUAACAAUAUACCUAUGGGUCUCACUUAGAAUCCUUGAGACAGUUGAGGCACAUUCUGGAUACCAUUUCCCCUGGAGCCCGUCAAACUUCUUGCCAUUAUAUGGAGGGUAUGUACAUUGUUGUUAGAAAUUUUAUUUGUAUGCAUCUGUUUUACAUGAUGUGCAUCAAAUUGCUAUUGUUGUUUCCAGGUCUGAUUUUCAUGAUUACCAUCAUCGACUGCUCUACACAAAGUCCGGCAACUACUCAUCGACAUUUGUUUACAUGGACUGGUAAGCUUUCCAUUGCUUUAACAUUAACAUUCUUGUGUUAUUUAACAAAGAUAGAAAUAUCAAGUUCUCUAGAAAAUGGGGAAAAUUGUGGUCUCUUGCUGUGUUCAGCUUGUGAAUACACAUAUCUUGUGUAAUUUCACAAGUGGGGUCUGGGAAGGGUGGCGCGUAUGCAGUCUUACCCCUACCUUAUGAAGGUAGCGAGACUCUGUCCAAUUUACAUGUAAAUCAUAACUUGCUCCUUAGUGGAGUAUCAUUUAGUCAUGAGGUGACAGUACAGACAACAUUUGGUACAUUAAGAACUCAGAAAAAAGAGGAAGUGAACACCGCUUUAAAUCAGGCACCAACCAUGCAUAUUGGCUAUUUAUGCAGUAAAUUGACCGCCGUUAAAUUACCUUCUAAAUUUUGAACUGUGCACCGGAUCCCGCGCAUAACGGGAGCUUUAGUGCAACGAGCUGCCCUUAAAUUGUAAAUUGUGGGCACAAUGAGAAAAUCCGUUGUAACUUCAGAUAAAUUUGAUAUAUCUCUCAUACAGAUUUUUAGUAUCCAAAUGGAGAGAAUUAUGUUCAAGAGAAACCUAUCACCAGGAAUUUUAGAGAGUAUCGUAGGCACACCUAGUAUUUGGCAAGAAAAUAUUAGCUCGAAUUUUGGAAGGAAGCUGGAUUCUAAUUUUUUUUAAGUUACUGGGUUCUAAAUCAUACUCGAUAUAUAUUCAAAGCUAAUAGGUUCGGCUGAACCCAUAGCCAACACUCUAGCUCCACCCCUAGUUCCAGAAGCUAUACAUCUGCCUGAAUAUGCUUGACAAAACUUUGUAUCUUUUGCAUGAUUUCUCCUUGCAGUUCCGAUAGAAACUUUGAUCGGGUACCUCUGCCACAUUGUGGUUGUUGUAGUUGUUCUAUUUAUCAGAUCUCUCUGUUUUGUUCAGGAUAUUUGGUACUGAUAAGGGUUACAGAAAAUUGAAGUCGCUGAAGGAGAGCGAACGUGAAGCUGAAGGCAAAGUAAUGUAAAACAAGGUGGAAAGUAGGGGAAUAAGACUAUGAUGCCUGCUUGGGUAUCACACAAUGGGUUUCCAGCAGAUCAGCAUACAACUAUAGCCCAAGGUUCAGAUUGUUGUACCUAAUCACCUUGUGCGCUUCUUGUAUUCAUCAGUGGUUUCUGGAGAACAUUUUAUGUUUAGGUGGAUCACUUAAAAGCUUGUACUGGAGAACCUUUUUUUUUUUUCCCUGUAAACACCUCCCUUUUUUUUUUUUUCCCCUGUAAACACCUCCCCAUCCCCUUUCAUCUCUCCCCCUCUGCCCCCUUCUUUUUACAAGAAGCAUACCUGGUGAAAUCUCAUAAAAUGAGGUGUGAAAAUGGUAGAAUGUGUGUAGACCUUACUCCUACCUCAUGGAGAUAGCAACAUUAUUUUCGAAAGACUCUUGGCUCAAGUGAAGCAAAUCAAAGUAGUACUAUAGAAAGGAAAAACGAUAAUGAAGAAAACAUGACAACUAAUCGGAAAAAAAGUACAAACAUAAGCAAAAUAGUGCGAUCGCUAAACAUAGUAAACAACAUAUAUCAAAAACUAGAAGCUACAUGAAUAAGACAAAUGCCACAAUGGACACAGUGCUCCAGACACAACAGUCCAACACCAAGCAUUAUACAUUGAGAAGCAAGACAUCGCUCAACUACCUAUUACCUACCUAUCCUAAUUCAUGAUGUUUUGUUUAAUCACCACUCUCCAAUACUUCUCCGGCAUACUUUUACCUCUCCUUGUAUCCAUUAUAUUCAGCCUCUCACAUCUACAUCUUUUUCAGACGGCUCAAAUCAUCUCAGCCUCCAUUCAUUCAUCUUGUUCACCAUGGAGGACAUUUUCACUUUGUCUCAGAUAUUCAUUACUGAUCUUAUCACUCCUAUUAUACUCUCACGUAUAUCUCAAAAUCCUCAUUUCUGCAACUUGCAACUUAUGAACAUGAAAAUUCUUGAUUUGCCAACACUUCAUCUCAUACUUUCCAUGUUGCUUGGGUUGAAGCCAUUUGGAAAUCCGCAUCAAAAUCUAAUUCAACUAGUUCAAAAUUGCCUUUAGUAGAUCCUUUUUCAUUUUUCGGACUUGAACUUUGAGCUAGUUAAGGGUAGAAAGUUCCAACUAUUCCGCUAUUGACCUGUAUCGCGCCAGGAAUCACGAUACUUAGCUAGCGACACCAAUUAAAUUCGAAAAUUCAAAUAGUUGAUGAACCCAUAAAUGGGAAAGAGACAAAUAUGCCCCUAAACUAUGAUAAAUCUUUGAGUACACAUAUGCCCCUACCGUUAAUAAAAUGAUACGUAUAUGCCCCUCACACUAAUUGUAGGGGCAUAUGUAUAUCCAAAGUAUGACGGGGGAUAUAUACAUACCAUUAUCAUUGUUCGGGGGUAUAUCUGUCCCUUUUUCGUUUUAAUUUUUUAUUACAAAUAAUUAACCCAAACUCACUACUUGAUCCAAUAAAAUCAUCAAACCCAAUUUUAAAUGAACUCGACCCGACCUCUGUUUUUUAUUCCAAAUUCGACACUCCCUCUAUUUUAUCUUAAACGUGAACCUCAAUCAAAUUGCAGUGCUUGAUCGGUGCUACUAGUUGGUGUUUAUCGGUUGAAGAGAGUAGAGAUUAGGCGGGAAGUGGCCGGAGCUAGGGGUGCGAUGAUGAUUCGUCGGUGGGGUGUUUUCAAUUCAAUGAAGACAGAGAUAGUGAUUAUGUGGUGUUAACUGAUGAUGAGUAGUGUUUUCUCUAUGGAAUUUAGCAGAAAAUAAGAACGUGAGGGGUUCAAUUUAUUUGGUGUUGCUUUGGAGUGUUAUAAUUAAUGAUUUUUUUCUAAAAUUGAUAGUCAUAAGUGUUACUAUAUGUGUGUGUACAUCAUUAUAGGGGUAAAAAAUCGUCUGUUAGAUAGGCGUCUCUUAGAUUUUAAUUGGGACUGGAUUGGGUAGUGAGUUUAUUCUGUCUGGUAAUGGGUUUGGGUUAAUUAUUUGUAAUAAAAAAAUUAAAAUAGAAAAGUGUAAUAGCCGUACUUUUCUUAGUUCUGUUUAGCUCCUAGUGUGUCAAGGGUCAACUUUAAAAUAAACAACUCUUGAUACGUGAAGAAUUUUCCAGCUCUAGACCCACUAAAUUGUAGAUAAUUGAGUCAACUUUCCAAUGAUACCAAUUUCGCCUAAAUCCGAUACUCGGGUGAGGAGUUAUGACACUUUUAGUGAAAAACAGUAGUUCACCGCGAUAGCACCGCAUCGCGGUGAAGUGCAGAUUCGCAAUUGUCCGCUUUUCAGUGAAGCACCGCGAUUACGCCACAUCGCGGUGAAGCCCAAAACCCUAUUCGCCCCUUUCCAAUAGCUCACUGCUAUUGACCAGUAUCGCGCCACGAAUCACGGUGAAGCAUAGCACCGCAUCGCGGUGGAGUGCAAAUUCGGACUCGGCUUUUUUCAGUGAGCCACCGUGAUAGCACUGCAUUGCGGUGGAGUGUAAAAUCGGGAUUUUCAAUUUUGAACUUAAUUUUUUAAAGGGCAACUUAGUCUUUUCCCAAGUCCCCAAAUCUUGAAAAAUACUAGAUUAAACCUAUUCUAAGCAUUAUAUGCUCAUUAUUCAUCAUAUUGCUCUCCAAGAAACCCUAGAACUUCAAAUUUCAAAUCUCAAGAAAUUCAAAUUCCACCAUUAUUUUUUUAAGAUAACCCAAAAUUCAAGAUUUCCAAUUCAAGAUCUUCAAAAAAUCUUCAAGAGCACAAAUAGGAACUCAAAGUUCAGCUUUUUUCAUCUAUUCAUCAAUUAAGGUAUGUGGGGUCAUGAACAAGGAUAAUCCUUUCAUCCUUGUGCCCAAAAUUAGUUUUAAAGUUGAUUUUUACCAGAAUUUACAUGAAUUUCAGUUUAGGGUUUAUACCCACUCAUCACUAUUUGAAGAUUAUGAUGUUACAAGUGAUCUAGAUGUUGACAUUAUUUUUCAGAUUUAGAAUUGAAUUAUCAAUACUUUCAUUAUUAAGCAUGAACUUUAUGAUAAUUUGACAUGAAUUUGAUGCAUGGGUUAUUAAGCCCUAGUUGAAUAUUGAUAUUUCAAGAAUGACUAUGCUUUAAGCAUCUUAUGAUUAGUUUAUAUUUAGAUUUUGAUCAAGAUUUCAUCUUUUGAUCUCAACUAAGAUAUGGAAUCCACUCUACAGUUUUAAUUAUAGUUUACAGUACACAGAUGCACAAGUGGUUUUCAUUAUAAAUCCUUAUAUUAGUUUUAAAAGUGGAUUUCCUAUAGAAUGAGCAUACAGAUUAAAGGGAGUAGUAUUUAGCACCGAGUUGGGUAUGUUCACAUGCCCCAGAACUACGAGCCAACGUAGGUUCAGAUUAUCAGAUUAUCCCCAUUUAUAUGGAUGAAAGAUACAAAUUGUGAUCACUUAGCUUAGGUUAUACUCCUUAGUAAGAGUAUGGCACCUCUCCCCAGCGUGAGGUUUUCCCAUAAGGGAACUAGACGUUGGACACUAUAAUAGCUCACAUAGUGUAUGCAGGUUAGAGGAACCUCCUUACAGAAAAGAGUAUUCCUAAUAGAAAUGCUUUUAGUAAUUAAGUGUAAAGGCUCACAGCUUUAUUCAGAUGUUGCUUUACAUAAAACGUUAGCUAUGAUAUUUCAGCUUUCAGUUUACAGAUAUAAAAGUGAGUCCUUUCUACACAUAGAUAGCAUGAUUUAAAGAUAGAAUACAAGUACAUCUUUUAGAAACUAAAUGUUAUGACUCACAAGAUUUAUACAACAUGCCUUACUACUAUGAUUAUGACUCUCAGUUUUCAGUUAUUCAAGCUAAUGUGAGUCAUUUACAUUUAGCAUGCAUUCUUUGCAAGUUUAUAUUACCGUUGGGGUAUUGUUUUACUUGUGCAUUCACCCCCACAUGCUCAGUAUAAUUCAAAAGUACUGAUCCACAUACAUGUCUAUGUGCUACAUUAUUUAAUAAUGUAGGUUCAAGUGCUCAGUUUCAGCAACGUGAGUGAUUUUAAGCAUCUCCAUCUACGUCCAGACAGUUGGUGAGUCCUCAUAGUUCGGGGAACCAGUUAGUCAACUUUUCAGCUUAUUAGAGUAGUUGAAUCAGUAUUUUUCAGUCAAUUCGAGUCAGCUGGGAUUUGUCCCAGUGGCUCUCUAGUUGUUAGUAGUAGAGGCUUGUCAGAUUGCUAGUUAUGAUUCAGAUUUCCAUUAUUGAUUGUCCAGACUUCUAAGUCAAGUAGUUUCAGAUACUAUGUUCAGAUAAUUUCAGCUUAGAUCAGAUAAAAUUCGGCAUUUUAGCUUUGAUAAUAUAUCUAUAUUUCCCUAUUAUGAGUUUCAGAUUUAGUAGAAGGCUUACAGGGUUAGCUUGAGGCUACUCGUAGCCUUGAGUACCGUGUGACAUCUCGUGACCCAUUUUUUGGACGUUACAAAAAGGGACAAAUAUACUUCCGAACUUUUAUAAAUGGUACUAUAUAUCUUCUGUCAUACUUUAGUUACACAUAUGCCCCUACCACUAGUGUGAGGGGCAUAUACAUACCAUUUCAUUAACGGUAGGGGCAUAGCUGUACCCAAAUUAUGACGAAAUGUACAUACAUAUCAUUUAUUAUAAUUCGAGAGUAUAUUUGUCCCUUUUUUGAUCCGUAAAUAACCAUCUUGGAGUUUCCUAAAUAAAACAUUUUUCAAUUAGCAGGAUAUGGAGGCAGGUAUUAUGGAAUUAACAUAUAAGUUGAUCACGGGUAAGAUAUGAAAUUUGCUUAUUUCUCCCUCCAUUCAGUUUUAUGUGGUACGUUUUUUUAGUUCGCCCUAAAAAAAUACUACCUUUCUCUAGAAAUUAUUUGACUUUUAUUUUUUUUAUCCUUAAUAAAUUGAUUUACAACUAUAUAAAUAUAUUGUUUUAGAUCACAUAUUUUAAAAAUCUUUCUUUUUUCUUUAAAUACCAUGUCAAGUCAAAUUGUGUCAUAUAAAAUGAGACGAAGGGGGUGUUGUGAAACCAAACUGAUUACAUAAAGACCUAUGGCCUGUAAGGAGUGAAUGAGAUGGAUCUAUUCGGAAUUAUUGGGCCGAUUGAUAUGUUGAAAAGUUCUGUUUGGAAUCCAAGCCCAAUUAUCAAUUGGUUUAAUAGUACCUGGGAUUAAACAGAGUGUUUAUGCUUAUUGUGAAGAAACCGUCACUUGUUUUUGUCAUCUUCUUUAGAGUCUAGAGUUCUCAUUCAAUUCUUAUCUCUAUCCUUUAGUGACUUAGAAUUUCAGUAUUUUCCAUUGUAAUUCAAAAGUUUAAGCAUUGUCGUUAUAAUUUGGUUAUCAAUGAUUAUAUAGUAUUUGAGAAUUUGUGUUGAAAAUUCAAAUUGGUUCCUGGGAGCAUCUCGACUGACAGAAGACAUUCCAUACAACUUUCCUAAUUAGGCUACAUUAGUUUGUGAAAUUCAGAGUUAGAUAACAUGUAGUAUGAGAAGCAUAUUUGAUAAUCAAACAUACUACAAAAGAAACUCAAAAUGUGUUAGUGAGUUGUAAAUUUGGUUAGGUUGUUACAAAGAUCUGAUUAAAUAAUCGCGUGAUUUGGAGGUUAAAAUUAUUAUAUAAGCCAACAACAAAGGACUAACACAACAUUAACAAAUUGUAUAAAAAGUUGCCUAACUUGUACUUGGUAUCUUUUGCUUUUUCACUUACGCGUGUAGUGCAACUUCUCCUAGCAAACUGUGUAUAGAAAACUCGGGUUAUACACUGUAGUUCUCUUCUCAACUUUCUCUUUCUUCUUCACUCUUAAUGGUCUUUAGUCCUUAGCCAUUGCUAAAAAGCAAUAGUAGCGGCUGUUUGUUCUCAGAUAAUCUCACUACUAUUUGAGGCAGAUCUGGACAAAAAACUCAGGUCUUAUUAUUCUUUCAUUAACUUAUAUCAUAUUUUUUGUAUUUUGCUUAACUACCCCACACAUCUGACAUAUGGUAAAAAAUUUCUGUAAGAAAUUUAAAAAUCAGGUUAGUGCAUGUACAUUGUGAUAAUUCCUAUCUUUUUUUGUAUUUUUUUUUUUUUUUAAAUUAUCCCACAAAAGUUGACAUAAAACUUUAGGGUUAAUUAGGUUGUGGAAUCAGGUAUAAUAGUUCCUUUGUUAUUCGCUCUCUCGAAGUGUUUCUCAAUUUUAGUUGGGUUUUCCUUUAAUGUUUCUUUUUUAUUUCACUUUGUUGCUGGUGAUUAGAAUUUGAUAAUCCCAACUUUCUCAAAGUUUUUCCAUUUUCAUUUUAUUUGACUAUUUGUGUCUAACCUCUCUAUUUCAUUUGAGGUAGUAGUAUGAACUGGGUACACUUUAUCCUCCCCAGAUCCCACUUUGUUGGAAUGCACCGGGUAUGUUGUUACUGUUGACUAUUUGUGUCUCUUUGUUUUGGCAAGUUAGUUGGUUCAAGCUUUCUUUGUUGCACUCUUCCUUGGCGAUCAAAGUGACAAUAAUAACAAACAAAGAGGACGACUUACAAGAAGUGGGUUACAGUACCAAUGGUGUUAAUCUUUUCUAGAUUUUGACAAGAAAAAUAAUUUUGAAGCAGGCUGUGAACCUAUGUGAUUUGAUUAUAUAACCUGCUCAUUCCACAUGAAACUUUUAUUCGAGUAGCAUUCUGAGAUUAACGAAGUACUAAAAUACAAAAAUUUUAUAAGCGACAUACUUUCAAAUAAUUUUACUUUUCAUUUUCAUUAGCAAAGUAGAUAAUGGUGCUUGAUCAAGGAUGCCCCUACAUUUUAUAACCGACAUAUAUACCAUCUUAAACACUACUUGGCGUCAAAGAUCUUCGACGUGAAGACUUGUUGAGCAUUUGUGGCAAUGAGAAAGGCGAGAGAAAGCUACAUGAAUGAGUCUAUGAUUAUGAUCUUUACAACGAUUUAGGCAAUCCUGACAAAAGUGAGGAUCUUGCUAGGCCGUUGAUAGUAACUCAUCCAGUUUAUGCCCCUAGAGAUGAAACUUUUGAAGAAAUUAAGAAAAAUACUUUUUCUGCUGGAAGGUUGAAAGUUCUGUUACAUAACCUGGUACCACUAGUUGCGGGUACAUUAUCAAGCUCAGACAUUUCCUUUACAAACUUCACUGACAUAGAUAAACUGUAUAACGAUGGGUUUGUCUUGAAUGAUGAUAAAGAUUUACAGAAGAAUAAAUUUUCUUCUGAUACUUUGGAUAAAGUAUUUUCUGAUAGCAAAAGGUUGCUCAAGUACAAGAUUUUUGCUAUAUUCUAACGUAAGAACACAUAGCUAUUUUUUCAUUCAUAUAUGUUUUCCUCUAUCAUUUAGCAUUGUUGAAAGUUGAAUCUUGAGGAGUUCUAUUUGUCUAUUAGAUUUACAAGACGUGCCAUCAGAAACCUACCAUCCUAUAAUUUCUUUCCAACGUUCUUUUGGAGUAAUAUUUCAUGCACUCUGCAUCUUUCUGUUUUCUGUCUUGCAGGGGAUAGAUUUGCGUGUCUGCGAGAUAAUGAGUUCGCCCGACUAGCUUUAGCAGGGAUUAACCCUGUGAAUAUUGAACUUUCGAGGAUAAUUUCUAAUUAUUAUUUUUGUACUAAAUGAAUUGUAAGCUUUCUUUAGAUGUUCAUUAAGCUUGUGGAUAUUUAACAGGAAUUUUCAAUUGUUAGCAAGAUAGAUAUAGCUGUUAAUGGUCCCCCUGAUUCAGCUAUUACCAGGGAUCUUAUAGAACAGGAGCUUAAUGAACUAAGUGUGAAGAGGUAAUGAUCCUUUUUCAAAGUAUUAUUUUGGAAAAUCUAGCUUUGGUGUGUUUCUUUUAAUGUGUAGACCAGCUCUAAACCUAAAAAUUUCAUCUCGAAUUUUUUAUUCAGGCUAUUGAAGGCAAGAGAUUGUUUAUAAUUGAUUAUCAUGACAUGCUUUUGCCAUUUAUUGGGAAGAUGAACUCCGUGGCAAAGAGCAAAUCUUAUGCAUCAUUCUUUUACACAUCCAGAGGUGUUCCAAAGCCAAUUAUCAUUAAACUUUCACUGCCUCCUACACCUUCUUCACCUAGGAACAAGAUGAGUGGGUUUAUAGUUGAUGUGCAACAAUCCAGUUAUUAGAGCAUGCUAUGUUCGAUGAGAAGUGUCAGAGAUAGAAAAAGAAGUAAUUGUUCAUUGUAUUCUCUUAAUUCGAUUUGAGAGACUUUUAGCUGUUGAUAGGGUUCAUCAAAUUUUGAGUUGAAGAUUGAAGUCCUUUGUGCAAUAUUCACUAUGUUUUUUCAUUGAUAUUUUUUCAUUCUUUUAUAGUUUUUGCUGAUAUCCUACAUCACCAAAUGACUAUGCAAAGAUCCACCAUCAAAUAUAAAAUGUUGAGCCCAUGCUGAAUAUAUAUAUACAUAUAUGCGUGUGUGUAUAUAUAUGACCAUAUAUAUAUGACCGUGCUCAAAAUUCAUCCUAACCGGAUAAGUGGUCACUUCGCAUUUUCAGGGACACUUGAUAGGCCAAAGCAUCUAAACUUUGACAAACAGCAUAAUAUUUUGUAUAAUUACUGAAAUUUUGAUUUUGAAUUUGUCGAGAUACAUAAUUAGCUCCCAAUACAUCCAACAAAGAUAUAAAUUUUUUCUUUAUAAAGAUACAUAAUUAGCAUCUGAUAUACUUUUUUUGAUUUUGUUGUCUGUCGAGAUAUAUAAUUAGCUCUCGAUACAUUUAGCGAAGAUACAUAAUUAGUUGAAAUUUUUAUAAUUAUAAAAAAUUAUAUAAAUAUGAUAAAGCUAAGAUGUAUGUGUAUGUUUUAUUUUUAAACUCUCAUUUCGUAUCAUCCCAUCGACGUGGAAUUUAGUUCUCUAUACACGUACAAACUAUUUCAGUUCCUCCACUAAUUUAUAUGUUUCAUAAUAUCACACAUCAGAAAGUAUUAGGGAAUUUAGUUAAAACUGACUAAAGAGUUUGAAAAUGAUGACUAAAGAGUUUAAAAAUAUGUAUAACUGACUCAAGUUUAAAUAAUUGAGUGUAAGUAACAAUUACUUUAUUAUGGAUUAAGAAAGUUGGAAAAGUUUGAGAAUAGCCCAUAAGUUUUUUAUUUACACUUUAAUUCAAAUAUUGACCUAAUAUAAUAGGAAACGGAGGGAAAAAAACACGUUUCUCUCUCUUCUCAUCGGUUGUUGUUUUCUCUCUCUUCGCGAUUUUGUUGUUCAUUGUUGCUGUUGUUUUAUUCAUCAUCUUCUACUACAUUAUCAUCUUUAUCUUCUUCUUGCUGACCAUUGUUGUUGUUUUUACCGCUACUGCUGCUACUUGAUCAAUUUUUUAUGUCAAAUUUUAUUUCGUAUAUCACUUUGGUAUUACUUCAUAAGUGACUUUGACAAGUAAAAUUAUGAUUUUUAGUUGAAUUUGUCAUCUGGGUACACUGUUACUGCUGUUUUUAAAAUAAUGGAUAGAACCGAACAUGAAUCCGACAUAAGAGCCAUCUAUUUAAACAGAUCACUCAUCUGUUGCGACAGAUGGGUCAUCUGUUGCAACGAAAAACUCAUAUGUUGGAUUCAUGUUUAUGGUUCUACAGUGCCCAUAACAUAAAUCAAACAGAUGGGUUAUCUGUUGCAACAGAGGAGUAAUCUGUUGCAACAGAUAGGUUAUCUAUUUGGAACAACACAAUACAACUCCUGUCACAAGCCCAACAGAUAACUAAUAUGCUUCCACAGAUGGUCCAUCUGUUGAAAGAAUUCAAAACUCUUGCUAUUGCUACUGGAUUCAAAAUUAUUCCUUACGUCCAAUCGUUGAUAUGUUUGUUAAAAAGAAAAAAUAGACAAAAUGAAAAUUAAAUAAGACUUAAAAAUUCAAAGUCGACCAAACAUAAAUCUUUCAUUAAACAAAAAUAAAAUACAUUAGGUCAUCAUCAUCAUCAUCCUCAUCGUCAUCGUCAUCGUCGUCGUCUUCGUCAUCGUCAUCUUCAUCAUCAUCAUCAUCAUCAUCAUCAUCAUCAUCAUCAUUAUUAUUAUUGCUAGUCGGCCAAUCGUGAACCGACAGCAAUAGGUCCCUCCUCAGCCUACGAAUCUCUUGAAACAUCCUUGCUCUCACGGCGCCCAACUCCAAUUAAAGGUCAUUAACCUGCCUCUAAUCAUCAUCAUCAUCAUCAUCAUCAUUAUUAUUAUUGCUAGUCGGCCAAUCGUGAACCGGCAGCAAUAGGUCCCUCCUCAGCCUACGAAUCUCUUGAAACAUCCUUGCUCUCACGGCGCCCAACUCCAAUUAAAGGUCAUUAACCUGCCUCUAAAGUUUCUGCACAGUGUCACGCAGAAUAGCAAUUUCCCAAACAGGAUCAACCAUUUCUAGAACAUGCAAGAAUUGAUAAAAAAAUAUAAACACAAAAGUAAAGAAAUGAGUCUGAAUGUAAUACAAUGUAUACUACCAAUUUGGUAGAUUUACGUAAAAAGAAAGCAAAAAAGAUAACUGAGUCAGGGAAAAGGUAUCUGUUCUUUGAAGAAAAAAUGGUUGAAGAUGUAAUAUGAAAGACAAUAUGCAAGAAAUAAAUAGAGUGUAGUAGAAUGAAUGAGUAAGGAGGGACCUAUUUAUAGAGGGUUAAAUUUAAAUGUGUUAGGCAAAAAGGAGCGACUGUUCACCUCCAUUUUAUUAAUUACAUUCAAACUGGUGACUUUUUUAUUACUGUAAAAAGUUAUGACUUAAUUAAAUCAAGUUGUUGACUUUUUUAUUAUUGUGAUAAGUCAUGACUUUUUAGUUUAUUAUUAUUAAUUAGUUCUUAAAUUUAAAUAAUUUUUUUCUCAAUUAAAUAAUCAAAGACUUCUCACCUUUUCAAUAACUGUGUCUUUUAAUAAUAACCAUUUUUAUUGAGUUGUGGCAACUGAUUGUCUAUGUGUUGCAUCAGAUAACCUAUCUGUGGCAACAGAUACACCAUCUGUGCAACAUAUGAUCUAUCUGUUGUAACAAAUUGGUUAUCUAUUGCGUCAAAUGUCUAUAGCUGAUGCAACGGAUGGACCAUCUGUUGGGGGACCAUCUUUUUUAAUAAUUAUCAUAUACUUUAAUUAAUCCAAAUUGAUGGCUUUUUUAUUAAAUAAAUUAAAAAAUAGAUUUAAAAAUAAAAAUAGUGAAAAGUCACGACUUGUCGUCUAUUUAAUAUUAACAUCAAUUAUUAAAAUUAAAUAACCAUUUUUUUACGGUUAUAAAUUGUGUUUAUCAUUUAUGACUUUUUGUUUUCUCUGAAAAGAAAUGACUUAAGUAAAUCAAAUUGGUGAUUUUUUUUAUUAUUGUGACAAGUCAUGACUUUUCAGCUUCUUCAUAUUAAUCAAUUCUUAAAAUUAAAUAACAUUUUUUCUCAAUUAAAAUAAUCGAAGAAUUCUCACUUUUUCAAUAACCGUUUCUUUUAAUAUUAUUGACCUGUUGCAACAGAUUGUCCAUAUAUUGCAGCAGAUGGUUCAUGUAUGCAACAGAUAAGACAUUUAUUGCAACAUAUGGAAUAUCUGUUGCGACAGAUGGACCAUAUGUUGGAGGAACUUUUUUUAUUUCUUCUAACAGUUGAUUCAUCAGUCGCAACAGAUGAAAAAUUUGAUUCAUCAGCUAUUUUGAAUGUGUUAGACAAAAAGUCAUGACUGUUCACCUCUUUUUUAAUAAUCAUCAUAUUAAUCCAUAUUGAUGAUUUUUUUAUUAUAUAAAUUAAAAAUAGAUUUAAAAAUAAAAAUGGUGAAAAGUCACGACUUGUCUCCUAUUUAAUAUUAACAUCAGUUAUUAAAAUUAAAUAAUUAUUUUUUUACGGUUAUAAAUUAUGUUUAUCAUUUAUUUCCUUAUUGUUUAUUUAUGAACCGUUUUUCAUAUUAAAUAAUCGAAAAGUCAUGACUUUUCACCCUUUCAAUAACAAUAACCCUUUUUUUAUUAAUAACCGUCCGUUGCAACAUAUGAUACAUCUGUUAUAUGUUCCAUCCGUUGCCACAAAUGCUCAAUACCUACCUCCAACCAUCAACAUGUUGAGAAUAAGGAAUAGACAAAAUAAAAAUUAAAUAAGAAUUAAAAAUCCAAAGCUGACCAAACAUAAAUUUUUGAAUCUAUUAUAUACAAAUAUAUAAUAAAAAUAAAACAUAUAGUAGAUUCCUCCUUUUGGUAGAUCCGAUAUAAUAAAAGAAAAUACAUACGCUAAAAUAAAAAACAUAACCUAAUUAUUAUUAUUAUUAUUAUUAUUAUUAUUAUUAUUAUUGUCGACUGGCCAAUCAUCAUCCGACAGCAGUAGGACCCUCCUCAGCCUUGCUCUCAAGGCGCCCAACUCCCACCUGAGUUUGUGAAUCUUCCUUUCAAGUUCCCAAAAGGAGUCGCGCAGAAUUACCUUGUCCAAAUUUGAAUCAGUCAUAUCUAGAAGUGGAGUAGACUGAACGAGUAAGGAGAGACCUAUUUAUAAAGGAUUGAAUUUGAAUGGGUUAGUCAAAAAGCUAUGACUGUUCACCUCUUUUUUAAUAAUUACAUCCCUUAAUUAAAUAAAACGGGUGACUUUUCGAUUAUGUAAAUUAAAAAUACGGAUAUAAAUACAACAUUUUAUCUUUAGUUUAUUUCAAAAAGAAAUUGCUCUAAAAUAAAUCUAACAGAUGGGUAAUCUAUUGCAAAAUAUAUUCUAUCUGUUUGAUAAUUUACAACAUAUUGGCAAUUUAUUGCAACAAAUAUAUAUAUAUAUCUGUUUGAUUAUUUUCAAUAGAUAAGUCAUAUGUUGCAACAGAUUGAUCAUCUGUUGUAACAAAUGUCUAUAAUUAUUUGAUAAUUUUAAUAUAUGUAUCAUCUGUUGCAACAGGUCAGUCAUCUGCUUAUUCUAAUUAAGCCAUAGAUGGGCUAGGAAAAAUAAAGUACAUACAGAUGGAUGGAUCCACUUUGAUGUAUGGGAGUUAUGCAUUGUUGAUAAGGUCAUCGUGACAACACACAUAAAGUACAAUGACUUUGUGAAUGCAGUUUUUAACCAAUUAGGAAUUGAUCAUUCAAACAAGAUCCUACAUUGUACAGUUAAGUUUGAUAGGUUCGAAUUGAUAAGAUCGAAGGACCAUGAAGAUGGUGUCGAUAUGCUGUUAUGAUUUAAUAACGAUUGUUGCUCAUGUUUAUGCAUGGCAAGUUUUGGCAAGGGAUCAAUAUUUGGUGGCAUUACAGAGAUCCAAUAGCGAUUAGACUGACUUUAAGGGUGCACUAGACUUUCAGAAGGCCUUCGAAGCCUCUCUCUGCAGCAAACAAGAGUAGAAAACCAAUAGAAAUUCCCAUGGCCCAAAUUUAUAUGGAUGGGUUGUUCGAGAAGAUGAUUAUAUGCCAGAAGGAGCCGUAGAAGAAUACCUACGAGGGAAAGGGGAGUUGAUGAAAAACUAUAUCAUCUGAGACCUAAUUGAAGAGGAAACAUAAAGUAGCAAGCAAGGAACUUCUAGCGAAUUUGGACGAUGAAAUUGACUUAAAACAUAGAAAAUCUGAAUCAAGUACAAAUAUGAAAGUGUAACUAAAAAUAAAGAUGCGUUAGUUCUCUCUCUCAAAGAAAAAUACUACAGCUAGACACUUUGCUAGGAAAAUGCGACUAGUUAGCAUGGUUGGAAUGGUCACCUCUAAAGAAAAUAAAAAAAUACUAAGGAAGCAGCUUUGCGGGCACUGAGGGUUGAAAUGAUGUACAAUAAAGAAAGAAAACUUGCGCCAAGAAGUUUUGAAGUUAAAAUAAAGAAUCAAUCCAAGGCGAUAAUUUCUGAAUUUUAACUUGCAUCCCAUGCUUUCUGUUUGUGGUUCUUAUCAGGCCAGUAGCAGUGAAAAUAAAAAGGUAUGAAGUUGGGCAGAAAUCCCAGGCCUUUUUGUUUUUACUGCGACUAACGUGACCAGAACCACAAACUGAAGGCCUAGGAUGCAAGUGUAACUUCUAAAAUUGUCGUCUUGUCUUGAUUCCUUAUGUCAACUUCAGAAGUUCUUGGCGUAAGUUUUCAUUCUCUACUAUACAUUAUUUCAGCCCUCAGUGCCCGCAAAGCUGCUUUCUUGGUGUUCUAUUAUUUUCUCUAGAGGUGAUCAUUCCGACCAUGCUAACUAGUCGCAGUUGCCUAGCAAAGUAUCCAACUGCAGUAUUUUUUUUUGAAAGAGACGACUGAUAAAUUUUUAUUUUGCUAUACUUUCAUAUUUGUACCUCAUUCAUAUUUCUCAUGUUUUAAGUCAAUUUCAUCGUCCAGAUUCGCUACACUUUCCUUGGUACCUUGUGUUUUUUUCUUUAAUAAGGUUUGAGAUGAUAUAGUCUUUAUCAACUCCCCUUUUCCUUGCAUGUAUUCUCCCAUCGCACCUUCUGUUGUAUAAUCAUCACCCCGAGCAACCCAACCAUAUAAAUUUGGGCUAGGACAAUAACUAUAUUGAUUUCCAUUCUUGGUUGCAAUAGUGUGACGCUUCGGAGGCCUUUUAAAAGUCCAUUGAACCCUUAAAAUUAGUCUAAUUACUAUUGAAUCUUUUUAUAAUGCCACUAAAACUUGAUCCCUUCACCAAACUAGACACAUAAAUAUUUGUAAAAUCAUUAUUAAAUCAUAACUAGAUAUCGACACCACCUACAAGGUCACUCAGUCUUAUCAGUUCAGACCUAUUAAAUUUAACUGUAAAAUUGUAGAUAUCUUAUUUGAAUGAUCAAUGCCUAAUCGGUAAAAGGCUUUAUUCACAAAAUUGAUGUACUCUAUGUGUGUUUCCACGAUAACAUGAUCAUUAAUACAUACCUCCCACAUAUAUAGUGGUUCCAUCUGCAAGCAGCUUAUUUAGUGAAUCCAUCUUUACUCUAGCCUUUUAUGUUGGUCGGGCAAAAGUUGAUCCACUUUUAAUUUCUUUUAUCUGGAAACAAGAGAAAAACAAAUGAUGUCAAAUAAGAGAAGAACAAAAAGAAUAUUACAAUUGAUGUCUGCAUAAUUUUAAAAAAAGGGUAACACAAAAUUGAAUGAAUACAACACAUUACAACAAGCGUUCCAACAGAAGACCCAUCUGUUGUAAUAAAUUCUCCAUUUGUUUAACAGAUGGGUAAUCUAUUGUAAUAGGUGACGCAUCUGUGGACACAGAUAGUUGACAUGUUGCAAUAAAUGGGCCAUCUGUUGGAAUAAAUCAAACCAGUCUUGCUAUUGGUUUGAUUUCUUCCAACAGUUUCUCUGUCUGUUCCAACAGCUGAUUCAUCAAUUACAACAGUUGGGGAAUCUGUUGUGUAAGAACCCAUAAAGUUUCCUCAUCGUCAAAGCCUUCGAAGAAAGUUAAAAGAAGCUUAACACUUAGAAUUUUAGCUAAGUGUUCCAACACUUAGUUUAUUUUUUGAGCCCUUGAACUUCGAUGAAUUAAUUCACGACCUUUCCGACCUCUGUUUCUUGAUUUUAUUGUUACGUUGCAAUGGGGCAAGGUCGUAAGGUAUCUCGGGUGAGUUUUGGAAUUUUUGGAAUCCAUUUAGGGAACGUUUAGGGUGCCAAACCGGUAGCUAAAGGCUAUUAAGGGGCCGCGCCCAGCUUAGCUAAGGCUCUGGGAAAGGCGCCGUCUAGACCAUAGCCUUUGUGCCCAGUUUUCAGCUUCUUUUCUCCAUCUCAUUAAGGGUAAAUUUGGUAUUUUCCUACUCUUUUAUCAUCCCUAACCACCAAGAACAUAGCUUAGGGUUUCUACAUAAACUUCAAGAGAACUCAAAAGUUAACCGUCAGUUUUCAAUAAUUUUUUGAGAAUUGAAAUCCCCAUUCCGAGGGCUACAAGAAGAACACAUUAAUUUCAAGAAUAGCAACCCAAAGUCAAGAACUCACUCAAAGUUUAAAUUUCAAGGUAUGUGGGAUUUGAACAAGAACACUCUUUUUACUCUUUCGUUCUUGUGCCCAAAAGUUUUAGAUUUUCUUAAAGAAUUUUGUAUUUCCAAGAUGAAUUCAUAUUAUUUUGCUAUAUUUCAAAUUUAUGAGAUUAUGGAAUUGUUCAAGUCUUUAAUUGCAUGAUUAUUUUGUUCAAUUAUGAUCUAAGUUGAGAGUUCAUGAUAUAAAUUGCACAUUCCUAUAUUGAUAUCAUGUUUCUAAGAAUUUUCAAGAGUUGUUGUCAUGAGUUGAAAUUUAUUAUGAAAUUAUGAGUCUUUGAGGAUUAAUUAUUGAUACUCCAAGAAGUGUAAUUAUAUUUCCAUGUUGUUGAAAUUUUAAAACUUUGAUGAAAAGUCUAUCAAGAUUUCAAGAAAAGAAUUGAGUUUUGAUCCUAAGCUAAGAAAGAAAUCCACAUUAUUUGUUUGAUUUGAGAUAAAGGGGGAAGCAUAUUGGCUCCCAUUACAUAUUGUUGAAUUGUUUAAGGUGGAUUUUCUUAAAUUUUUGAGCUUAGUAAGGGAGUAGUAUUUAUCACCGAGUUAGGCUCGAUUCUGAGGUCUCAUGCCCCAGAACUACGUGCCCCCAUAGGUUUCUGAUUUACCCCAAGUGGGUUAAGCUAGUGAUCACUAAAAGUUAAAGGUUCUACUCCGAAGGAAAGGAUAGAAAAACUCUCCCCACGUGGGAAAGACAUUGGACUCCAUGUAGCUCAUAUGGUUUAUAUCGAUUAGAAGAAACUCCCAAACUUAUAUAAUCCCGAGUCCCAAGUGUCCCAAAGUCUCUUAAGUUUUCUAGAGUCUCAAGUCUUAAAGUUUCUAAAGUAUCAAGUUCUUGAGUUUUAAAGAAGUUUUACUAUCCUUAAGCUAAAAGUGUGAGUUUGAAGGUAUAUUGAUUUUGAAGGCUAUGACCCUAUGAUUCCUAAAGUUUUCAAGUGUCAUGAUUAUUAAGUUCCCAAGAAGUUUCUUGCUUUCAUGAGAUUAUAGCUUAUGUCCCGAAAGUUGAUAUUUUAAGAUUUCAUCUAAUUUACAAGUUGAGAACAAAGAAAGAAUACAGAUCUAGAAUAAAGUGAAAAGAAAGAAUACAGAUCUAGAAUAAAGUGAAAUCACUCACGUGAUUUCUAUUAUAUAUUUCCUAACCACAACUUAUGAGAAUUUUAUUCAAGCUAUGUGAGUCAUCUAUUAUAGCAUGCAUGUUUUCUAUUAAGACUUGUGAUACUUAUUAUUUAUUAGCAUACACCCCCACAUGCUCAGUCGAUUCCCAAAGUACUGAUCCACAUAUACAUCUGUGUGCUACAUUGUCUCAUAAUGUAGGUUCAGGUGCUCCGUCCCAACCUCGUCAGUGAUCCCUGAGUGCCUUUAUCUACAUCUCCACUGUGGUGAGUCCUCAUGGUUCGAGGACCGAUUAUCUUCAGAUAUUCAGUUUAUAUAGUAAUUUUUCAUUUCUUUUUAGUUAAGUAUGAGUUAGUUGGGGACCUGUCCCAAUGGCUCUCUAGUUCUUGAGUAGUAGAGGCUUUGUCAGACUAGUUGUUAGAUUGUUAGUAUGUCGAGAUUUCUAGUAUUAUGGUUGUUCGGACAAAGUAUUUUCAUAGUAUUUCUUAUUAUUUGAUAUAACAAUGCCCAUGAUUUGUCUAUUUCAUCUCUAAGAAAGUUAUUAUGUGAAGUAGCAGGCUCAAAGGGUUAGCUUGGGCUACUUGUAUCCUUAAGCACCGUGUGAUGCUUCGGGAGCCAUUUUUGGGGUGUUACAAACUUGGUAUUAGAGCCUAAGGUUUAAGGAGUCCUAGGGAGUCUGACAAGAUGCGUUAAGUAGAGUCUUGAUAAUUGGUGUGUAGCGCGCACCACAUCUAUGAGCAAGGGGCUACGAAACGUUUAGGAAAAAUUCAUUUCUUUCUUUCAGAGUCUAUUGUGCUUAAAGAUAUCUCUCUCAACUAUUAAUUUGUGCUCUUUUAUUUUAGAAAAUGCCUCCUUGUCGAGCCCACAGAGCUUAAGGAAUUAAAAGAACAACUCAAAGAUCUUUUAGACAAAGGUUUCAUAAGGCUCAGUGUAUCUCCUUGGGGCACACCCGUCCUAUUUGUGCGGAAGAAAGAUGGUUAUUUGCGUAUGUGCAUUGAAUAUCGUCAACUUAAUAAAGUCACAGUCAAGAACAAGUACCCUCUUCCUAGAAUUGAUAACUUAUUUGACUAACUCCAAGGUGCAAGUUAGUUCUCCAAGAUAGACCUUAGAUCCAGCUAUGACCAACUCAAAAUAAGGGAGUAUGACAUCCCGAAGACAGACUUUAGAACCCAUUAUGGUCACUUUGAGUUUCUUUUCAUGUCUUUCAGACUAACCAAUUCUCCCGCAGCCUUCAUGGACCUCAUGAAUCGAGUGUUCAAGCAGUAUCUUGAUAUGUUUGUCAUUGUUUUCAUAGAUAAUAUUCUUGCGUAUUCCGAAAGUGAGGUUGACCAUGCAGAUCAUCUUAGAAUUGUCUUGCAAACUCUUAGAGAUCACCAGUUGUUCACCAAAUUCAGUAAGUGUGAGUUCUAGCUAAGGUCCAUAGCUUUUCUAGGUCAUAUUAUUUCAGCCGAAUGCAUUAGAAUUGAUCCCCAAAAGAUAGAAGCUGUAGGAAAUUAGCCUAGACCUAUCUCUCCAUCUAAUAUUAGGAUUUUCUUGGGUCUAGCUGGCUAUUAUCGCCGUUUUGUUGAGGGUUUCUCUUCUAUUAAUUAUCCCAUGAUCUGGUUGACCUAAAAGAAAGUUAAGUUCCUUCGAUUAGAUUCCUAUGAGAAGAGUUUUUAGGUGUUGAAGACUCGUGUGUUGACUUUGCCUGAUGAUGUUGAUGGUUUUAUGGUGUAUUGUGAUACUUUUAGAGUUGGCUUGGGUUGUGUGUUGAUGCAGGAAGGUAAGGUUAUGGCCUAUGCCUCUAGACAGUUUAAACUGCAUGAAAAGAAUUACCCAACCCAUGAUCUUGAAUUAUCUGUUGUGGUCUUUGCUUUAAAAAUCUGGAGACACUAUUUGUAUGGUGUUCAUGUUCAUGUGUUCACUGAUCACAAAAGCCUGCAGUAUGUGUUUUCUUAAAGGGAGUUGAAUCUUAGGCAAAGACGAUGGUUAGAGUUGCUAAAAGAUUAUGAUAUGAGUGUGUUAUAUCAUCCGGGCAAGGCCAAUAUAGUGGAAGAUGCCCUUAGCAGGUUAUCUAUGGGCAGUGUUUCUCAUGUAGAGAAGGGUAAAAAAGAGUUAGCUCGUGAUGUGCAUCAUUUGUCAAGAUUGGGGGUUAGACUUCUUGAUUCCGUUGAGGGGAAUUUCUUGGUGCAGAGUAGUUCCGAAUCCUCUUUAGUUUCAGAAGUGAAGGAGAAACAAGAUUUAGAUGCUAGUUUGGUCAAAUUGAAGCAGUCAGUUAAGGAACAAAGAGUAGAGGUUUUCUCCCAAGGGGGAGAUAGUAUGUUGAGAUUACAGGGUAGAUUGUGUGUUCCUUGUGUUGAUGAUCUGAUACAGAGGAUCAUGGCAGAGGUGUAUGGAUCACGAUAUUUUAUUUAUCCCCGCACUACUAAGAUGUACCGUGACUUGCAGGAAAUCUAUUUUUGGAGUGAUAUGAAGAAGGAUAGAGCGGAGUUUGUGUCAAAGUGUGAAACUUGCUAAGAGGUUAAGAUAGAGCAUCAAAGGCCUGGUAGUGUGAUGUAAGAGUUCAGUAUCCCCACUUGGAAGUGGGAAGAGAUAAAUAUGGACUUUGUGACUGGUUUACUUCUUUUACAUUGUCAUCAUGAUUCUAUUUGGGUGAUUGUGGAUAGGCUGACUAAGUCAGCACAUUUCUUGCAUGUGCACACAUCUUAUGCAGCUGAGGACUAUGCUAGAUUGUAUAUUCGGGAGUUAGUCAGAUUGUAUGGAGUUCCCUUGUCUAUUAUUUCGGAUAGGGGUACUCAAUUCACUUUACAGUUUUAGAGAGUUUUUCAGAGGGGUCUUGGUACCCCAAGUGCAUUUGAUUUCCAUUUUUUAUCCGCAGACAGAUGGUCAGGCUGAGAGAACCAUCAAAACUUUAGAAGAUAUGUUGAGAGCAUGUGCUCUUGAUUUCAAAGGUAGUUAGGAUGAUUAUCUACCAUUGAUUGAGUUUUCUUAUAACAAUAGUUAUCACUCUAGCAUCCGGAUGGCACCAUUUGAGGCUUUGUAUGGUAGAAGGUGUAGGUCACCAUAGAUUGGUUUGAAGUGGGAGAAGUUGCUGUGAUUGGACCUGAUGCAGUGUUUGAUGCUAUGGAGAAGGUAAAGUUGAUUAGAGAAAGGUUGAAGAUAGAUCAGAGUCGUUAAAAGUUAUAUGCAGAUGUGAAGAGAAAAGACCUUGAGUUUGAAGUUAAUGAUUUGGUGUAUCUAAAAAUUUCACCUAUGAAAGGGGUGAAAGGUUUGGGAAGAAGGGGAAGCUUAGUCCCCGGUAUGUUGGCUCUUACAAAGUUCUUAACCAUGUUGGGAAAGUAGCUUAUGAAGUAGAUUUGCCUGCAGAACUGUCAGCUGUUCAUCCUAUCUUCCAUGUCUCUUUGCUUAAGAAAUGUAUUGGUGAUUCUAUUGUUAUAGAUCCUUCCGAAAGCACUGAUGUUCGGGACAGUCUUUCAUUUGAUGAGAUUCCAGUUGAAAUCCUAGAAUACCAAGUCCAGAGACUAAGGAACAAAGAAGUUCCCUUGGUCAAAGUUUUAUGGCGGAACUAGUCAGUUGAGGAUGCUACUUGGGAAGCAGAAGCAGAUAUGCGAUCCAAGUACCCAUACCUCUUAUCCGCAAGUUCAGAUCAAGCCGAAGGUACUAUUCUUUCUUAAUUCAGUCCCCUUCUAAUCAGAGUUGCAGCUGUAUAGCCAUUCUUAUCAUAAGUUUAUGUAUUCUAUGAAGUAUCCGAAGGUUUAGAAUGAAGUAAAGUUAGUUUAGCCAAAUAUUUCAGCCGUGUAUCCUUUAUUUUCUCUAUGUUCUGAACAUAUCUAUCUACAUUUAAGGAUGAAUGUUCCCAAGGAGGAGAUAUUAUAAGAUCCCGUAAAGUUUCCUCGUCGUUAAAGCCUUUAAAACAAGUUAAAAGAAGCUUAACACUUAGAAUUUUAGCUAAGUGUUCCACCACUUAGUUCAUUUUUUGAACCCUCGAACUUCGAUGAAUUAUUUUACGACCUUUCCAACCUCCGUUUCUUGAUUUUGUUGUUGCGUUGCGAUGGGGAAAGGUCGUAAGGUAUCUUGGGUGAGUUUUAGAAUUUUUGAAAUCCAUUUAGGGCACGUUUCGGGUGCCAAACUAGUAGCUAAAGACUAUUAAGAGGUGCCGCCUAGCUUAGCUAAGGCUCUAGGCAAGAUGCCGCCCACCUUAGCAAAGGCUUCGGGCAAGGCGCCGCCCAGGCUAUAGCCUUUGUGCCUAAUUUUCAGAUUCUUUUCUCUGUCUCAUUAAGGGUAAAGUUAGUAUUUUUCCACUCCUUUAUUAUCCUUAACACGAGAUUACACCCCAAAAAUACCAUAUUAUUCAUACUUUCAUCAAAACCCACCAAGAACAUAGCUUAGGGUUUCUACACAAACUUCAAGAGAACUCAAAAGUUAACCGUCAAUUUUCAAUAAUUUUUCGAGAAUUGGAAUCCCCAUUCCAAGGGCUACAAGAAUCACCCAUUAAUUCCAAGAAUAGAAACCCAAAGUCAAGAACUCACUCAAAGUUUUAAUUUCAAGGUAUGUGGAGUUUGAAUAAGAACUCUUUUUCGUUCUUGUGCCCAAAAGUUUAGAUUUUCUUAAAGAAUUUCGUAUUUCUAAGAUGAAUUCAUAUUAUUUUGCUAUAUUUCAAAUUUAUGAGAUUGUGGAAUUGUUUAAGUCUUGAAUUGCAUGAUUAUUUUGUUCAAUUAUGAUCUAAAUUGAGAGUUCAUGAUAUAAAUUGCACAUUCCUAUAUUGAUAUCAUGUUUCCAAGAAUUUCCAAGAGUUGUUGUCACAAGUUAAACUUUAUUGUGAAAUUGUGAGUCAUUGAGGAUGAAUUAUUGAUACUCCAAGAAGUGUACUUAUAUUUCCAUGUUGUUGAGAUUUUAAAACUUUAAAUGAAAAGUCUAACUAGAUUUCAAGAAAAGAAUUGAGUUUUGAUCCUAAGCUAAGAAAGAAAUCCACAUUAUUUGUUUGAUUUGAGAUAAAGGGAAAGCAUAUUUUCUCCCAUUACAUAUUGUUGAAUUGUUUAAGAUGGAUUUUUUUAAAUUUCUAAGCUAAGGGAGUAGUAUUUAGCACCGAGUUGGGCUUGAUCCGAGGUCUCAUGCCCUAAAACUACGUGCCCCCGUAGGUUUUUGAUUUACCCCAAGAGGGUUAAGUUAGUGAUCACUAAAAGUUAAAGGUUCUACUCCAAUAGAAAGGAUAGAACAGUGUCACACCCCUUUUUCGCCCGCAGGGUUCGAGUUGAAGGGUUUUUCCAAUUAAAGUGACGAUUUUGAAUAGGAAUUAAUUUAUUUACAAAGUCGCCACUUGGAAUCGAGUUAUGGUGUUCCAAGUCACCUUUUUGAAUCCCUAAUCAAAAGAAAAUGAAUCUUUAUUGGUCUGCGAAAACAUAAGACUAGGUAAGAAAUUCUAUUGACCGAGGGAAAGGUGUGAGGCACCCCUCGAGUCCCGUGGUUCCAGCACGGUCGCUUUUAUUGACUUAACUUAAAUUAUUUUGACAGAUUAUGUUAGUAGGCCCUAAAAUCACUCAUUUUAUUAUACUAAAAUUAUUUAAAGCUCUUGUAUUAAACUGGUGAAAAAUAAUUUUAAGACGAACUUUACCGAAGUGCAAUAUUGCAUCCACGAAUUAUUUUUAAUGGUUUCAGAAAGAUGCAUACACCGCAUUCUUAAUCGAGACAAAUAUAUCAAACGUUCCUAAAGCUUAUCUAGCAUUAAAAGACAUUUAUUUCAUCUCAUGUAAACUCAAGAAAUUUUAUUUUAUCUAUUUAUAUUCUCUUUUUUUUUUGUCUCUUUUCUUUAUUACGACGGAUCUUGAAUAAAACCACAGCCCAUCUCGCUCAUUCUCACCUUAGUUAAUUAAUACGAAAUUACUCCGGCCUUAAAUUUAUAUCCUAAGCUAUAAACGUUUUUGGCUAAUAUCAAAUCCCUCGAUCAAUCUUAUAUUAACUACAAAUAAUAUACUCAAUCAUUAAACAAAUAAAAAUGAAAUAAGACAUGCAACAUCUGAACAUUAUAAUUAACUUCACAUGAGAAGAAAUCAGAACUAAAAGAAAACUAAAUUUCACAUAUAUAUAUAUAUAAAGUAGAGUAUCUUUAUAUCGUUAGAUAGAAAAUCCGAAUGAUAAGUUUGAGUGAAAGAGACUAGAAAAUAAAAAUUACCUAAUAUUUUUUUUUUCAUUUUAGUUUUCUUUAUUUUUUCUUGUAGUUUAUGGUGUGGAUAAUGUUAAUGUACUGAGGAAACAAAUGAACAAUAAUAUAUACCAGUGAUUUUCAUUUUUUACAAUUAUUUUCUAUUUUCAAUUUUAUAUUCCCUUUACAUAACAAAAGAAUUCUUGGUCGCAUAACAGAGAACAAACAAUUUAAGAUGAUAUAUGGUAAACUACUCCAAAAUUUAAUAAUCAAAUGAAGAACAUCAACACUUGAGAAAAAUUGAUCAAACCACGUCAUGAAACUAUAUUUUUAACGAUCAUAUAAAAUAUUCAAAUAACUAAAUAUAGAAUUCAAGAUUACAAAUUCAUAUAAUUUUGUAUACUAAAUAAUGCAUGAAACGGUUGAACGGUUGCAACCAUACUUCAAUUCACAAUGAAAUUGAUAAAUAUAAAUAUAGUGAAAUUAAAUAAAAACCUGUACAAUGGACUAGUUAAAGGAGAAGCAUGAAUGAUGUCAUCGGAAACUCGACAGGAACCUAACUUAGUCUCCAAAACCAAAGAAGUCUUUUUUAUUCUUUUAUUUUUCUACUGCUUUUUUUUGUUUUGUUUUUCUAACUCUCAUCCGUUCCUUUAAAUUUUUGUUUGUCUUCCCAAUCUCCAGUAUGUUUUAUUCCUUAGCUUUUACCACUUAGUUUUUCUUUAGUUUUUCUUCUUUCUCGUGUGUGUGUAUGCUAAUGUUUUCUUUUUUUGGUUUUGUUCUUUUUGAUUUUUGAAAAUGUGUAUUUUUUGUUAUCCUCCCCUUUUUUGUUGUUGUUGUCUGUGUGUGUGUUAUAUAGGGUAUAGGGUGGGAAGUUGAGAGAGUUGAAGGGAAAAGUGAGAGUGGUUGGGGUAGUUUAGGAUAAGAUAGAAUUUUCAAAUUUUAAAUCUUUUUCUCUUUUUCCUUUUUUUAAAGAAGACAAUGAUAAUAAAAAAUAUAAAUAAUAAAUAAAUAAAUAAAAUAACAAUAAUAAUAACUAAUUAAUUUUUAUAUUUAAGAAAAUACAAUAAAAGUUUAAAAAUAGUUAAAAUAAAUAUAAUUAAGAUAGUACUAAAACUACUAACUUAUUUGUUUAAAAUUUAAAAAGAAAAUAUUUAAAAAAACAUUUUAUUAUUUAUUUAUUAUUAUUUUUAAAAAAAAUUAGAAUAAAAUAAAAUGAAAUAUCUCAAAAUUAAAUUUAUUUUAACUAUAAAUUUAUUAAAAAAUAAUAAGAAUUAAAUAAUAUUAAACCAAAUAUAAAUAUUUAAUAUCAAAAAAAAUAUAUAUUAAACUCGGGAGAGUCAAAAUCACGUGUCUACAUUUUGCUCCUCUUUGUUUGAAAUCUCGAAGAGUUUUCAUACAAAGAAGUAGACAAAGAGAUGACUUUUGACCCUCCGAUUAUUUUAAAAGUAAUGAUAAAAUAAAAUAAAAUAAAACAAAAUAAAAGAUGUGACUGAGUUCUGAUUUUGGACCGCCUACACAUCCCGGGUUUUAAGAGAAUCGGGUCACAUGUAGUUCAAAGGUAACAUGGUGAGAGAAAAAGUUAAAGUCAAGUGAGAUUCUGUCGAGUUUCCGAUUGACGACUUCUGCCUUUUACAUUCAAAUGACUAACAAAAAUGAAAAAUACAAAUGAAAAUUGUAAUCUCUAGAAUCUUGAUUCUACUCUUCACGACUUGAUUUUGAAAAUUCACCCUAUUCUUCAGGCGAGCUCCUGACUUAUUAUUUCUUCACUCUAUUCUUCAGGAGGGCUACAAUGCCGCUUGAAUUACCAAAAUAAGGAAGUACGUCUCAAUGCCACUUGAAUUACCAAACCAAGGAAGUGUGUCUCCUUACCAAUGUUGCUUGAAUUACCAAAAUAAGGAAGUGCAUUUCCUUAUCGAUGCCGCUUGAAUUACCCAAAUAAGGAAGUGUGUCUCCUUACAAAUACCUCUUGAAUUACCCAAAUCAGGAAGUGCGUCUCCUUACAAAUGUUGCUUGAAUUUUCCAAACAAGGAAAUGCGUCUCUUUACAAAUAUUUCUUGAAGUACGUCUCCUAACAAAUGUCUCUUUAAUUACCCAAACAAGGAAGUGCAUCUCCUUACCAAUGCCGCUAGAAUUACCCAAAUCAGGAAGUGCGUCUCCUUACAAAUGCCGCUUGAAUUACCCAAAUCAGGAAGUGCGUCUCCUUAUAAAUGUUGCUUGAAUUGUCCAAACAAGGAAGUGCGUCUCCUUACAAAUGUCGCUUGAAUUGCCAAACAAGGAAAUGCGUCUCCCCAUAAAUAUUGCUUGAAUUACCAAACAAGGAAAUGUGUGUCCCCACAAAUGUUGCUUGAAUUACCAAACAAGGAAGUGCGUCUCCUUACAAAUGUUGCUUGGAUUACCAAACAAGGAAGUGCAUCUCCCUACGAAUGUUACUUAAAUUACCAAACAAGGAGGUGCGUCUCCUUAUAAAUGUCACUUGAAUUACCAAACAAGGAAAUACAUCUCCCCACAAAUGUUGCUUGAAUUACCAAACAAGGAAGUGCGUCUUCUUACAAAUGUUGCUUGAAUUACCAAACAAGGGACUACGUCUCCCCUCAAAUGUUGCUUAAAUUACCAAACAAGGAAGUGUGUCUCUUUACAAAUAUUGCUUGAAUUACCAAACAACGAAAUGCAUCUCCCCACGAAUGUUGCUUGAAUUACCAAACAAAGAAGUGCAUCUCCCCACGAAUGCCGCUUUGAGAAAUUAUAGUCUUAGAUGUUUAGGCUUUGAAAUCAUCGAUCUGAAGGUAAUAUGUAUUCCUGAAUAAUGAACUAACUACAAGAAUCAUGAUCGACGCCAUUGAAAACUUGAAUAGAAAUUUACUUCAACACUCAAUUUACAACUCUUUCUUUUCUUCAACUUGUUCUUCAGGCGAUCUCCUGAAUUUCCUUUUCUGAUUUUUCAAAAUAGGUUCCUGAACUCAAAAUAAAAGGUAAAACAAAAAAAUAACAUCCCAUUCUUCAGGAGGGUCCUGGACAUAAAAUAAAUUUCCAUUCAUCAGGAGGGUCCUAUCUUCUUCAGGAGGGUCCUGAUCAUAAAAAAUAAAUUUUUAUUCUUCAAGAAAGUCCUAUUCCAUUCUUCAGGAGGGUCCUGAGCAGAAAGUAAAAUUCAAUAAACACAAACAAAAUUUUUUACCCCAGUUUGUAUUAGAAAAUUUUGUGAGCAUCAUCAGAUUAUAGUUUUUGAAAAGUACAGAAAAAGUGUGAAUCAAAGACCUGCUAAAGAAAUGUGUCUCGUCAGAGUAAAACUGAUGACCAAAAUUAGGAAGUAUGUCUCCUAAGAGUUAAAUUGAAGGAAUCGACUAGAAAGUGCGUCUUCUAGGAAUGAAUGUUCAAGUUAGGAAGUGUUUCGCCUAACAAAUGAAAACUUACUUAUUCAGACUAGGAAGUGCAUCUCCUAGGGGUUAAAUUUUUACCAUAAUUUGAUUAUCAAACCUAUGCAGCAACAUUGCUUCCUGCAUCUGUGGAAAUGAGGCAUUCCAGCCCUUGAUAUUUACGCUCUAAAGUCCUUAAUUUGAAGGUAACAUAUUUCCUAUUUCAUCAAAGAAAACUUGUGAGUUCAAAAACAUGGUGGCAGGUUUGUGGUUUUAGCUUCCGUGGCUAUCACUCUUGCCCUUGUCACAUUUAACCUUGCUUCCACCCAUUAGCAUCUGUCACUGACUUGCUGCAUCGUUGACCCAAACUCAAAUUAUUAAAAAUGACUCUAAAACAAACAUAGUAUCUUUGCUUUACCAUGCUUCUCAAAUAAACCCUUUAAACCUUGAUAUUUUCAUGAGUUUCCAGACUCAUCUGUUGACAAAAUUUUUCUGCAUGUCUUAUUUUAGCUCACAAUCAUGUCUCUUUCAUGUGUUGGCCUUUUGUCUUGCUUUAUACAAUAGGUUUUUGCCAACGCCCAUCUUAUUUUUAUUUUUUUCUCAGCCCACUGUCAUCUUAUGGUGCCCAAAAGGGUUUUCACCAACAAAACUCUCUCAUUUUUAUUCAUUCAUUUUUUUUUUGAAAAUAAUGCCCAAUAUACGAAACAUCAUGCACCCAUAACAUGUUUACCUUGACAUUCUCAAAGAUUGAUCUGAAGGUCUUUCUUUGAUUGUAACUUGGCUUUUGGAAUGAGAUAGAAAGAAAGGUCGGCAUGGGGCUCAAAAUUUACACAACAUUGGGUGAAAUAUACAACUUUUGAAAUCGACUCUUUUAAAGAAAUAAAAUUUUACCCCAGCUUUAUUUCAUUCUGGGUAGCUUGAAUUUUCUUUUGGUUGGACCGAACCACAGAGUAGGGCUGCCUAUUUAUCUUGUCAUAUCAUGAAUCAGGUCAAAUGUAGUUCGGGUAUCUUUUUUUUUCUUUCUUUUUCUUGACUUUUAUCUCUUUUUCUUCUUCUUUUUUUUUUUGAGAGAGAGGGAGAUAUUUUUAUCGAAUUUAUUUUUUCUUGACACUUUUCUAACUCUAUUCUUUUUAUUGACACAUUUUUUUUCAGACUCUAUUUUCAUUCCAAAAGAGGUUUAUGAAAGAAAAAAAAUUCAAGCACAAAGGGGAUAACAAAAGAUGACACAACAUUUGGAUAGAAGAAUAAAAUGCCUUCGUCAUAUCCAUCCUUAAAAAUGCAAGUACAUAACAUGCAAUGGGAGAGUGUAACAUAAAAAUUAUACACAUCUUUUCAACAUUGAUCUUGAUCGAGCAAGUGCACAUGUGUCACUUCUUUCAAGCUUGUGAAAUAUAUAUGCCCAUUUGUAUUGUACAUUUUUUGCAACAGGUGAUCUUUUUUUUUUAGCUAACUUCCUUUUGCUUCUUUUGACAAUAGAAACUAUAUAUCCUCUGGUUGAUCUCAUUCAAAAAUGCUUGAGUUGAACCUUUUCAUUGAAGAUCAAGUCAUUUUUUAUUCGCAAAGUGAUUGCCUCAAAACAUUCAAGUGAGGAUGUAACUAGGUCUCCAAACAUCUCAAUACUUUACUUAUUUUUCUGACAUUUUUUCAUCUCUAGGUUCUUAAUUGAAUGCUUCAGUAUUAGAUUGGGUUUUAAGAUCUGGCUAAAAAUUCAACAUGCAUAUCAUAUCACUGGAAUUGCCACAGAAGAAAAAACGUGUAGAGAAAAGAAAAUUUUUAAAAUAUAUAUUUAAAUAAGAAAAACAAAAGGGACACAUAUUUUGUUAACAAAAAAGAUAGAAAGAUUUUGAACACAAGAAUAAAACAAUAAGACAACAUAGAUCCCGAACUACAAUCCUUAAAUUAUUCGGGUAACAAAAGGAAAACAAAAUAGACUACCAAAACUCCUUCCAAGUAAGGAAAGAGGAGUGACUUCCCAAUUGUCGAGCUUGACAUCUUAGCCACUGGUUUGAAUAUCAACAUGACUAGAGCUUUCCUCACUAUCAAUGUUCUAUAGUAUAAUUGAUCUAUCUUGAAUCAUCUUUUCAAUUUAUCUUUUCAAAUCUCGACAAUCUUCAAUACUAUGACCUCGAGCAUCAGAAUGAUACGAACAUCGUGCAUUAGGAUCAAAAUUUCUUAAACGAGGAUUAAGAGUGUGCCGAAGGAGAGGAGUAAUCAUGUCCUCCUGUACCAAUCUCUGAAAUAAACUGGCAUAUGACUCUCCAAUUGGUGUGAAGCUAUCUCUCAACUUCUGCCUUAUUUCAUUAUUUGGCUUGGAUUAAAAAUUGGGCCUAGAAGGGCUUUGGUAUAUUUGUGGAAUUAGAGGAUAACUCUGAGGAGUUGGUGUGUGCCAUUGUGGGUAAGAAAACGGAUGAACAUACAACUGUGCAUUGUUUAAAGGAUAUGAGGAAGUGAAACGAAAUAUCUUGGAUUUUGCAAAGAGGAACCUUGUUGCAUGUGACCAUAUGAAUUUGAUGUGCAAGCUCGGGAUUGAGACUGACAAUAUUGCUGAGUUGGACCUCUUGAGCUCUUCUUUGCCCCUGUAAUGACAAUAGGUACAUUUUUCUUUUUCUUUCCUUUUGUCCCUCUCAAUUGAUGACAAUAUCGUCCUAAGUGUUUUACAGAAUCCUCGUACCCAUCAUGUUUCUCAAAUUUCGAUAUCUCAGGGCUUGGAGAAAGGUUAAAACUUGAAGACAUGUCCCCGUCUUUAUAUGCAACAUCUUCAUAAUUCGCAAUUCCCUGAGAAUUUUUCGUAGCCUUUUCUGUGCUCUUCAUUUUCCUAGCUAUUUUCUCUUGCUCUUCUGUCAUGUCAGACUUCUUAGGAAGAAAUUUUGGUGGUCUAACUAAAUAGAUGUGGGAUCAGAAGUAUAAUAGUGAUCAUCAAAAGUGCUGAACAUUGAAUUACUAGCAGAUUGGGAAGGCACAAUCGCCGGAUCAAAAGCUAAGGUGGAAACCUCAGUAGAGGGUGGAGCAACAGCAGUAGAGACUAUAGGUGGUGCUAUCGAUGUGCUAGAUUUAUACUGGGGCAUGUUGUGGCGCAUAACCAACAGCAGAAAACUGACCUUAUAAUUUUGGUGAAAAACUCAAGGUAUUUGUAGGGUCAAUAGUGGAAAAUAACGGAGGAGGCAUCCCACUGGCCCAAGCUCGAUACAUUUCUAGUAUUUGUUGCCUCAAACUCACAAUCUCUUAGUUUAACCUCUCAUUUUCCCAACUAUUUGUCUGAUCCAUGAUUUCACUUUCUAUACUCUUGAUGGACAUGAAUCCUUUUCCUGAAUUUGGUGUAAUAUGAAGGAUCAGCGAAAAUACCACCAACCAACCACCUUAAAUUAACUGUUUAAGAAAUAACAAAGGCAUCGGAAUGCAAUAUUUUUUCAAAAACUCUUUUUAUUUUAUCUUCUUUUUUAAAAAGAUCAUCGAACCCCAGAAGGGAUGCCUACGCAUCUCACUAAGAUGAGAAUCAGGUGUGCGUAGUUCUCAAAACUGGAGAUAUGAAGAAACAGAUUUUUCUUUUAAUUUGAGAAAUGAGAAAUAUUUUUUGUUUUUGAAUUCAUUAAUAAUGCUAAAACAUAUUUUAUUUUCGAAAAUAAAUCAAUUUAUUUUAUAUAUAGAUAAAAAAACUCUCUUUUUUUAUUUAUUUAGAAGGAAACACAAAUAUAUUUUUUCUUUAAAAUCACCGAUCCACGAAGGACUGCCUACGUAUCUCAAUAAAAAUGAGAAUCAGGUGUGCGUAGUUCUUGAAAAUUGGAGAUACAAAGAAAUAUACCCUUUUUUUUAAAUAAUGAGAAAUUUAUUUAUUUAUUAAAUAAUAUAUUUUUUCAUUUUUGAAAACAACUUCCUUUUUUUUUAGUUUAAAAGGAAAGACAACCAUUUUUUAAAAGAUCACCGAAUCCAUUGAGGACUGCCUACGUAUCUCAAUAAAAUGAGAAUCAGGUAUGCGUAGUUGUUGAAAAUUAUGUCGUACAAAAUUUAACCUCAAGAUCCUUAAAGGUUCAGGGCUAUUAAGAUUUAUAUUUUUUGUAAAAACUUAGCCUCAUUUUCCCUAAAGAUUCAAGGCUAUUAAAAUUUAUAUAUAUUUUUUAUUUUAUGUAAAACUUAGCCUCAUGAUCUCUAAAGAGUCUGGGAUAUUAAGAUAUAUAUAUAUAUAAAUUGAACUUGAGAAUAAGAAAAAUAAUUGUGAAGGUAAUCAUAUUUUCAAAACAUUUCCCAAUAAAUCUAUGAAUAAUUUUUUAAAAGAUAGGGUCGUACCCCAAAAAAGGGCUUCCUACGUAUCUCAAUUAAGAUUAAGAAUCACCUCGUAGUUCAUGAAGACCGUAAAACUAUGUUACUAAACUUUUUUCUUUCUUUUAAAAAUAAUUUUUUUCUUUUCUUUUUUUAAAAAUGAUUCACUAAUGUGAAGAUAAUUUAAUCUCUUGCAUUUUAAAGUUGCCUAAACCUGAUCAACAAACAAACAACCUUCCAAAUAAAUGUCAAAGAGCAUGCAGGAUGCACAUGUUGGUCUUUAUAAAGUAGGUCACCUGUCCUAGACAGACCUGGCCCCUGUGCUGAGUCCCGAUAAGUCAAAUACAUAUGAUGCAAAUAAAACGGCACCUAAUAGGAAUAACCAGAUUCUGAGUUUUCAGUUCUUCUAAGUUUAAGACUAAGAGGGAUAGGUGUCGAGACUGGCUUACCCGAGCGUACACUCCAGCUAGGGAGGGACAACUUGGUUGGUAGCAGGGCAACACCGCCUUCAUUGUCAAUCUGAACCCCGCCUAACAUGUGUGACUAUAAUUCUUCACCAGGUUCCUUGACACUUUGGCUAUCUCAAAAAGAAAGUAGGAUGCAUGCGUUGCAUUCCUUCUAUCCUAUUUCAGAUACUCAGAGGGGUUGCGUAAGAGAAGACAGUAUAUAAUACGGUUCAAUCAAUAUCAAAGCGGUAAAUAAGUGACAAGUAGCACAUAAGGCCAACAAACACAAUAUCAACAAUAAUUAAAGCAAGUAUAAGUCAAUAUAAAAAGCUCAAAUUCUGGUUAUCCCCAGCAGAGUCGCCAGAGAUGUCACAUCCCUUUUUUGUCCGCAGGGUUCGAGUCGAAGGGUUUUCCAAUUAAAGUGAUGAUUUUGAAUAGGAAUUAAUUUAUUUACAGAGUUGCCACUUGGAAUCGAGUUAUGGUGUUUCAUGUCACCUUUUUGAAUCCCUAAUAAAAAGGAAAUGACUCUUUAUUGGUCUGCAAAAAUAGAAGACUGGGUAAAGAAUUCUGUUAAUCGAGGGAAAGGUGUGAGGCACCCCUUGAGUCCCGUGGUUCUAGCAUGGUCACUUUUAUUGACUUAUCUUAACUUAAAUUAUUUUGACAGAUUAUGUUAGUAGGCCCUAAAAUCACUCAUUUUAUUAUACUAAAGUUAUUUAAAACUCUUGUAUUAAACUGGUGAAAAUUAAUUUUAAGACGAACUUUGCCGAAGUGCAAUAUUGCAUCCUCGAAUUAUUUUUAAAGGUCUUAGAAAGAUGCAUACACCGCAUUCUUAAUCGAGACAAAUAUAUCAAACGUUCCUAAAGCUUAUCUAGCAUUAAAAGGCAUUUAUUUCAUCUCAUGUAAACUCAAGACAAUUUUAUUUUAUCUAUUUAUAUUCUCUUUUUUUUUUGUCUCUUUUCUUUAUUAUGACGGAUCUUGAAUAAAGCCAUAGUCCAUCUCGCUCAUUCUCACCUUAGUUAAUUAAUAUGAAAUUACUCUGGCCUUAAAUUUAUAUCCUAAGCUAUAAACGUUUUGGCUAAUAUCAAAUCCCUCGAUCAAUCAUAUGUUAACUACAAAUAAUAUACUCAAUCAUCAAACAAAUAAAAAUGAAAUAAGGCAUGCAACAUCUGAACAUUAUAAUUAACUUCACAUUAGAAGAAAUCACAACUAAAAGAAAAUUAAAUUUCACACACACACACACACACACACACACAUAUAUAUAUAUAAAGUAGAGUAUCUUUAUAUCGUUAGAUAGAAAAUCCGAAUGAUAAGUUUGAGUGAAAGAGACUAGAAAAUAAAAAUUACCUAAUAAUUUUUUUUUUCAUUUUAGUUGUCUUUAUUUUUCCUUGCAGUUUAUGGUGUGGAUAAUGUUAAUGUACUGAGGAAACAAAUGAACAAUGAUAUAUACCAGUGAUUUUCAUUUUUUACAUGUAUUUUCUAUUUUCAAUUUUAUAUUUCCUUUACAUAACAAAAGAAUUCUUGGUCGCAUAACAGAGAACAAACAAUUUAAGAUGAUAUAUAGUAAACUACUCCAAAAUUUAAUAAUCAAAUAAAGAACAUCAACACUUGAGAAAAAUUGAUCAAACCAUGUCAUGAAACUAUAUUUAUAACGAUCAUAUAAAAUAUUCGAAUAACUAAAUAUAGAAUUCAUGAUUACAAAUUCAUAUAAUUUUGUAUACUAAAUAAUGCAUGAAACGGUUGAACGAUUGCAACCAUACUUCAAUUCACAAUGAAAUUGAUAAAUAUAAAUACAGUGAAAUUAAAUAAAAACCUGUACAAUGGACUAGUUAAAGGAGAAGCAUGAAUGAUGUCAUCGGAAACUCGACAGGAACCGAACUUAAUCUCCAAAACCAAAGAAGUCUCUUUUUUUUUCUUUUGUUUUUCUAACUCUCAUCCGUUCCUUUUUAAUUGUUGUUUGUCUUCCCAAUCUCCAGUAUGUUUUAUUCCUUAGCUUUUUUCAAUUAGUUUUUCUUUGGUUUUUCUUUGUUUUUUUUCUUCUUUCUCGUGUGUGUGUAUGCUAAUGUUUUUUUUUUUGGUUUUUUUCUUUUUGAUUUUUGACAAUGUGUAUUUUUUGUUAUCCUCCCUUUUUUUGUUGUUGUUGUUGUCUGUGUGUGUGUUAUAUAGGGUAUAGGGUGGGAAGUUGAGAGAGUUGAAGGGAAAAGUGAGAGUGGUUGGGGUAGUUUAGGAUAAGAUAGAAUUUUCAAAUUUUAAAUCUUUUUCUCUUUUUCCUUUUUUAAAGAAGACAAUGAUAAUAAAAAAUAUAAAUAAUAUUAAUAAAUAAAUAAAUAAAAUAACAACAACAAUCAUUUUUUAUUGUUCUCACAACUCACUGUCACCUUAUUGAAAAUAUUUUUUAAAAAAAUUGUAUUAUUUAUUUAUUAUUAUUUUUUAAAAAAAAUUAGAAUAAAAUAAAACAAAAAAUCUUAAAAUUAACUUUAUUUUUUAACUAAAAAAUUAUUAAGAUAUAAUAAGAAUUAAAUAAUAUUAAACCAAAUAUAAAUAUUUAAUAUCGAAAAAUAUAUAUAUAUUAAACUCGGGAGGGUCAAAAUCACGUGUCUACAAAUAGCUCUCCCCAAUGUGGGCAAGAUGUAGGACUCCAUGUAGCUCACAUGGUUUAUGUCGGUUAGAAGAAACUCCCAAAGUUAUAUAAUCCCGAGUCCCAAGUGUCCCAAAGUCUCUUAAGUUUUCUAGCAUCUCAAGUCUGAAAGUUCCUUAAGUAUCAAGUUCUUGAGUUUGAAAGAAGUUUUACUAUCCUUAAGCUAAAAGUGUAAGUUUGAAGGUAUAUUAAUUUUGAAGGCUAUGACCCUAUGAUUCCUAAAGUUUUCAAGUGUCAUGAUUAUGAAGUUCCCAAGAAGUUUCUUGCUUUCAUGAGAUUAUAGCUUAUGUCUUGAAAGCUGAUAUUUUAAGAUUUCAUCUAAUUUACAAGUUGAGAACAAAGAAAGAAUACAGAUCCAGAAUAAAACUGACGUGAUUUCUAUUAUCUAUUUCCUAACCACAACUUAUGAGAAUUUUAUUCAAGCUAUGUGAGUCAUCUAUUAUAGCAUGCAUGUUUUCUAUUAAAACUUGUGAUACUAAUUAUUUAUUUGCAUACAACCCCACAUGCUCAGUACAUUUCCAAAGUAUUGAUCCACAUAUACGUCUGUGUGCUACAUUGUCUCAUAAUAUAGGUUCAGGUGGUCCGUCCCAGCCUCGUCAGUGAUCCCCGAAUGCCUUUAUCUACAUCUCUACAGUGGUGAGUCCUCAUGGUUCGAGGACCGAUUAUCUUCAGAUAUUUAGUUUAUCUAGUAGUUGUUCAUUUCUUUUUAGUUGAGUAUGAGUCAGUUGGGGACCUGUCCCAAUGGCUCUCUAGUUCUUGAGUAGUAGAGUCUUUGUCAGACUAGUUGUCAGAUUGUUAGUAUGUCGAGAUUUCCAGUUUUAUGGUUGUUCGGACAAAGUAUUUUCACAGUAUUUCUUAUGAUUUGAUAUAACAGUGUCCGUAAUUUGUCUAUUUCAUCUCUAAGCAAGUUAUUAUGUGAAGUAGCAGGCUCAAAGGGUUAGCUUGGGGCUACUUGUAGCCUUAAGCACAGUGUGACGCUAUGGGACCCAUUUUUGGGGCGUUACAUGUUGCAACACCACCAACACCAACAAUAGCAUCAACAAUAAAGAAACAACACCAUAUGUUCCAACACUAUCAACAACAUAAACACCAUAUGUUCCAACACCAUCAACAACACCAACACCACAUGUUCUAAUAACACCAGUAUCAACAACGAAGAAACAAACAAAAUAAGUAAAAAAAGAAUACCGCCAACAAGACUUUUUAAGUUCUUCCAACAAAUGACUUUUUUACAUAUUUAAUAAAAACAACGGCUCGUUCAUUCGAGACUUAAAAGUCACCUUUUCUUCAAUUUUCUCAAUAAAUAAGAUUUGAAUAAUGGGUAAAUAAAUAAAAACAACAAAUGUAAAUAACUAAUUUAACUAACAUGCAAAGAAGAAGACAAGAAGGAAAGAGCAAUAGUAACCAUACCUGGAAUGUAAAAUGCAAAGGGAUCAAAACACCAAUUUUACUCAAGAAAAGAUAUAGAUCAAUUGAGAUCCGAAAGUAUCCUCAUGUGAAAAACGAGAGAAAAUUGAGAAAAAAAAAAGAGACAGUUGUGAUUAACCAAAAGAGAAGAGAAAGAGCAAAAAGAGAGAUGAAUUAAUUUAUAGUUGAAAAAGAGAUAAUUCUAGAGAUGGGUUUAAAUAUUCAUUAGAGGGGCAUGAGACGAUGACAUUGAAAAUACAAGAUAAGACAACACAAGGGGGUUACUUUUGAGUUAUCCAAGAAAUAUUUUUUACCGCCUUGGUAUUUUAUCUUUUUUAUUUCGGACACAAAAUUGCUUUAAAAUUAAAAAAGAACUUAAAAUAGGUAAGUAGUCUAUUGCAACAGAUGUCAAUAUUUGUUUGACAAUGUCAAAUAGCUCAGUCAUAUGCCACAACAGACGGUAACGUCUAUUUUAUAAUUUACAACAGAUAAGUCAUAUGUUGCAAUCGGUUGAACAUCUGUUUUAAUACAAUUUCAAUUGAGUUCAUAGGUUCAACUAUAAUUUCAAUUGAUUUAGCAAGAAUUAUGGAUGAGUUCAUAGGUUCAACUAUAAUUUCAAUUGAUUUAGCUAGAAUUAUGGAUGAGUUCACACGGUCAACUACAGUUUCAAUUUAGUCAUUGUAGUUGCAUAAUAUUGGUAUUGCAUUCCUCCUGACUCGAGCCGUUCAUCGAUCAAUCUGAGUUGAAACGAUUCAUAUUAACUCAUUGUUUGGGACACCUAAAUUUAUUUAGCUAGAAUUAUGGAUGAGUUCACAGGGUCAACUACAGUUUUAAUUGAGUCAUUGUAGUUGCAUGAUGUUGGUAUUGUGUUCCUCCUAACCUGAGCCAUAAUCGUUCAAUCCGAGUUAAAACAAUUCAUAUUAAAUUAUUAUUUGAGACACCUAAAUAAAUCUAUCUAGAAUUAUGGAUGAUUUCACAGGGUCAACUACAGCUUUAAUUGAGUCGCUGCAAUUGUAUGAUGUUGGUAUUACAUUCCUCCUGACUCGAGUCAUCAACCGAUCAAUCUGAGUUGAAACGAUUCAUAUUAACUCAUUGUUUGAGACACAUAAAUUGAUUUAUCUAGAAUUAUGGAUGAGUUCAUAGGGUCAACUACAGUUUCAAUUGAGUUGCUGAAAUUACAUGAUGUUGAUAUUGCGUUCCUCCUGACCCGAGUCGUCAACUGAUCAAUCUAAGUUGAAAUGAUUCAUAUUAAAUUAUUGUUUGAGAUACCUAAAUUGAUUUAGCUUAUUAUUAAUCUAGUAUUAAAUUCAUCAUGUUCCAAUUGAACUUAAUACAAUUUAUAAUGAUGAAAUGGUUAAAAUUUAUCUGUUUUAAAAAAUUAAUUAGGAUCAUUUCAGACCAAAUUAAUAUUUUUAAACUUGUUAUUUUUUUUUAAAAUACAAAUCAACCCAUAUAAAUUAUCCAUUUGCGGCAAAAAUGCUUGAUUAUUUCAAAUCUCUAGUUCUUGCUCUUUUCUUUCUCUCUCAAUAAUAAAAACAACUACUACUCAACAUAUUGCUCAACCCUUCACACCAGAUCGAUUUUUUUCUCAUUUUCGACCACAUUAUUGUUAUUUUUGACUUUAUUUUUGGUUGUAUCCAUCGUUUUCUCUGUCUUUUCAGGUAAUAGAGUUCGAGAAAAGUUCUAUAUUUGUUCUUUUUUCUAAAAUUUAGGGCUUUUUAGUUAAUGAUAAAAACAAAGACUUUUAGUUGUAUUAUCUUCGAGAAUGAAUUAACAAUUUUGAGUUUUGAUGAUAAAAUAGUAGAAAGAACUCAAGAAAACCCUAGUUUUUAUCCCAGUAUUCCGUUGACUGACGUGGUAUUGUUUGAUGGUGUUUGUGGUGGUAUUGGUGUAGGUGUUGGUAUUGGUGGUGGUGGUGGUGGUAUUGGUGGUGAUAGUGGUAGUGGUAUUGGUGGUGAUGUUGGUGGUGGUCGUAGUAUUGGUGGUGAUGGUCCUGAUAUUGGUGGUCUCCGUGGUGGUGGUGGUGGUGGUGGUCUUGAUAGUGGUGUUGGUAUCGGUGGCAUUGGUGGUGUUGGUGGUGGUUUUGUUGGUCCAUCUGUUAUAACAGGUGGAGCAUCUAUUAAGAGAUAUUAACAUAGGUCUUCAAACAGAUACCCAUCUGUUGCAACAAAUGUUUCAGCUGUUAGCAUAAGACAAACCAGUAGCAAGACUAUUUUGAUCUCAUCCAUCUGAAAGAUCAUCUGUUGCAACAUCUUAUGCAUCUGUCAUAAUAAAUGAUUCAUCAUUUCCAUCUGAUUGGUUAUCUGUUGGAAUUUUUUUUUUGUAAUGUAGCGUAUAAAAAAUUAUUGAAAUUUGUCUUACCUUUUUUUUUCAAAUUAUGCAAAUGUCAAAUAUAAUGUAUUUUUUAUUUUUCUGUUAUUUGUAGUUAAAAAAUGUCUCCCAAAAGAAAAGAAACUGAAAGUGAAUCAACUUCUGACCACCUAACAAAAAAGGCCAGAGUGUAGAUGGAUUCGGAGGAACUUCCUGAAUAAUCUCAGCCAGGAAAGAAUAAAGCUGAGGAAAGUUAUGAAAAUGAUGUUGAGAGAGUUGGACAAGGGUAUGUAAGGCUGGUGGAAAAUAAAAGUGAGGAGGAAGAAGAAGAAGAUAAAAAAGAAGAAGAGGAAGUAGAAAGUGAUAAAGAGGAUGAUGAUCAAAAUGAUGAUAAUGCAUCAUCAAUGGGAUGUGAAUUAAGAACGAAAUCCCAACAUGAUCACGCCAAAACUAUUAGUAUUUAUAAGUUUCAAGUUGAGAUGCCAAUAGAUGACCCUGCAAAUUUAACUGGUGAUUUAAUACUUAAAUCUCAGUUGGGGAAGUCUUUUGAUGAUUUUAGGGAAACAAUGAAGGAGGAAAAAUAGACAAACUUUUUAAGAAGAUCUGCUUUGGACACUUUCUUGAGCUACCUGAGGACAACAAUGCUCGUUUCCAAAUAAGCAUGGUAUAUGGUCUUCAUAAGCGCAGAAUCAAGUACGUAGGGGUGAUAAAAAUUCGAAGGAGGAGGGCCAAAAGAUGAAUGAAAUCUGAUUCAAAUACUGUGGCAUGCAGAUUUACUUUGACAUGAAAGAGUUUGCCAUAGUGACAGGCUUGAGAUGCGAUCGUCCAAAAGAACCUUUCAUCAAGGCCAGACCCCGCAAAAAGUCCAAGACAAGAAGGACAACCAAACCACCACCAUCAAAUAAAGGCAAGGCAUUGAACAAUCAACCACCCACCAAAACCAACAAACACAAGGAAAAAUAGAUGGACUGUUGGACAUUAUUGGGCGUGGCUAUAGAGCCACAAAGCUAUUGCAAGAUCUCAAGGAUAAAGCCAUACCAAAUAAGCACAAGGAGCAAUUACGCUUAGUUUGGUUUGUUCAUUUCGUUAUAUUGGCAAGAUAUGUCUACAAAGUCAUAGAAGAUGAUAUGUUGGAGCUUGCCGAGGAUCCUGAGAAAUUCAACAAUUAUCCUUGGGGAUAUGACAGCUACAAGUUGAUUGUUAAAUAUUUACUGACAAACCUAUCCCCAAGAACGAUCACCUUGUACGACUUUCGUUGGGCUUUUAUGGUAAAUAUAAUUACUAUUCGUAUACUCUUGCAUUAGCUUAUUGAAUAAUUAUUAUAACUUUUUUUAGUUUUCUUUCUGUUUAUACUUUUUAGGCUUGGGCAUUUAAAGUCAUUCCUCCCCUCCAAAAGUAGGUCAAGGAUUGUCCGGGUGAGGUUUCUCAUCCAAGGAUCCUUAGGUUGUUAGUUGCAAACAGCAACACGAGAAUUAAGGAGGUUGAUAUCUUUAACACUCCAGAUGAUGCAGUAAGUCUUUUUUCAAGUAAAAUAAUUUAACUUAAAGAAAGAUAUUGAAACAAAUGAUUCAUCUGUUGUAACAGAUUGGUAAUCUAGUACAAAUUUAUCUUAACAGAUUCCCCGUCUGGUGCAACAGAUUGGUAAUAUAUUGCAAUAGAUGAGUCAUUUUUUUGCAACAGAAUACCCAUUUGUUGUUUUGGUUCUCUGAACCUGACUUUAACAGAUUACCUAUCCACUGCAACUUAUGCAACAGAUGGGUAAUCUGAUGCAACAGAUGGUUAAUUUUUUGCCAUAUAUGAUUCAUCUGUUGCACCAUAAAGAUCAUAUGUUGCAUAAGUUGUCUGUGUUGACAUAUUGCCCAAGUGACUACAAAUUAUUAUUUGAUUUAAAUGUAUCUACCUUUCUUUUAGGUUGUGCGUCCAUGGAUCGUAUCGACUCAACAAGAGUUGGAGAUGACUUCUUUUAUUACUCUAGGUCUUAUUGAUACAAUAGCAGACCCAAUGGUGGAGUUAAUAAUGAAGGAAUUGGCUGGAGCAAAAGCCAUAAGAAGAACAGUUAGGCAAGGGCCUAGUGUUGAGGAUCUUCAUGACCAACCUACCGCAACAGAUUCGGGUGCCGCUUCUGGGGCUGUUGCUGGUAGAGUUGUUGAUGUUGGUGGCAGCCAUGCUGGUGUUGAUGUUGAUGCUACUUCCAGUUGUGAAGAUGAUCAUGUUGAUGCUCAAGAAAAAUAAAUAUGUUUGAAAUCACCCCUAACACCGGUCCCUCUCUUCCUUAUGGUGGUCCCACUUCACCCUUAUGUUCUUAUUGCUAAUUCAAAGAGUGCCAGGACAGACAAGAUAAACUCUUUAAGAAAAUAGAUGCUAUCGCUGAAGCUGUCGAGGAAUUAAAUUCAAGAGGGGUGUCAUAUCAUCCAAGAAGGUGAGGGAGCUCUACACUCUUACGGUGGAGGUUAAGAAGAAGAAGAGAGCAAUUACCCAUAUACUGUCAGCUAUGAAACCAAAAAAAUUACAACUCCUCUUCUUUCGAAACCUGUUGAGGUUCAGGGAUCAUUGAAGAAGGUAGACAUAUAUGCGAAACUUGACGCCAAACAAAAGGCUGUUCUAAGAAGGACCAUAAAUUCCAGGCAACGCGCAAAAUCCUACACCAUGAAUACCUUUUCCCCCAAGACUUCAAGAAGAUGACAGAUAUGAGCCUGUGGUACAUGGACACGGUAAGUUUAAUUUUUCUAACCUAGCCUUCUAAUCUUCUCUAUGUAGAAGAAGCUAAGCAACAGAUGUGUUAUCUUUUGCAACAGCUGGGUAUUCUGGUGCAGCUGGCGGUGGUUCUGUUGCAACAGAUUACUCAUCUGUUGCAUAAGUUGCAUUAGAUGGAUAAUUUGUUAACAGAUUGAAAGAACCCAGUGCAGCAGAUGGUCAAUACAUUGCAUCUUUUCACUUUAUUUUUCUUUUUAAAAAUUACUAACCUAUUUAAAAAUUAUCUUCUUAUAACACAGUAUAUUGAUGAAAUUCUCUGCCUCAUGAGGGGCGGGCAAUUAGCGUACCCGGAUACUUAUGAUGUUGUCGAUAGGAUAAUGGACCUCAACUUAUAUAAUAAUUUCAAGAAUAUGUACGAUAAUCUCAUUGUGCAAGCGUCAACUCCCGGUGGCCCGAGAUUUAAUUUGUUAGUUUUUACGUCUGAAUGAGAUGAAGAUAUGAUUAAAUAUGUUACAGGAAAGAGGUCAUAUCCACAUGGCAAGGACUGGACCAAAGCAAAAAGGAUUCUUGCAGUCAUGAACAUGGAGAUAAAACAUUUUCUGGCUCUUGAGAUACUACUCCAGGAGGGAAAGAUGAAAGUUUAUGACUGCAAUUUACCUAUGUUCGACGAGGCCAUUUUUUUCACCCACAUGCAUCCACUGUUGGAGUUAUUCCCCAACUUGUUGGGUCAGAGUAAACUGAUGGAUCAUUUAUCAGUCAAAGUGUUGAAUGAAAGAUGGGAAUUUGAAGGUCGAAACAAGGAUAUCCUACCAAAAAAUAAAACUAGUGUCGUAUGCGGGUCGUACGCGCUUACACACAUCGAGUGUUUGAUGACCAACGUAAAAAUGACCGAGCCAACGACCUUUCUGUGUGACAACACUAUGGCAAAUAUGCAAGAGGCACGGGCUUUUGGGGUACUAACUAAAUGCUUGGAGCCUAUGUAUAAAAACGAAGAUGUAGAAAUACAAACACCAUGACAAUUUUUUAUAUUUGAUAAAAAUUAAAUUUUUUAUAAUGCAACAGAUUGUCUAAUUGUUGUAACAGAUAGUCUAUUUUUUCUGACAUAUAGUUUAUCUGUUGUAAUAGGUUGGUCAGCUGUUGCAUUAUGCAGAUGUUUAUAUCUAAGUCUAGCUGUUACAACAGUGGGAAGACUGUUUGAUAAUUUCAAACAAAUGACCUACAUGUUGCAACAUAUGUCUAAAUCCGUUUGAUAAUUUCCAACAGAUAUGUCGUCUGUUGCAAUAGAUAUAUUAUCUGUUGCAAUAUUCGAAUCUAGUAUUCCAUUUCAAUUAAUAAGUUCAAAUCUAAGGAUAACAUAGACAAAAUAAAUCGAAACCUUUAGAAAUUACGUGAAAUAAAUCAGCAAAUAAAUUAAAUGUAAAAAAAUUAUUAUGGAUACAGAUCUCAACAAAUAAAUCAACAAUUUAAGUUUUGGUGCCAACAAUUCCUAAGGAGAGGUUAUUAAUUUGAUGGACUCAUGUUGUAAAGAUCUACUCAAUAUGAACAAGUUGUUCUUCACCCGGUGCUAUGGAAUUCGGCUUUGGUCGUCGUGUAUCUUCGUCUUUAGAAGCAAUUGAUGAAUUAUCAACUGUGAUAUUAUGUUGUUUAGCAGUAGCUUCUAUUAUGACAUCUACCUUGAAAUCCAAAGUUGUCAAUGCUAAUCACAGAGAUACAAAAAAAAAUAAAAAAGAAUAACUCAUCUGUUUUAGCAAAUCAAAUAAGUCUUCCUCCUAUUUUAAGUUAUACCAAUAGAUGACCUAUUUGUUGCAAUAGAUGAAUCAUCUAUUAGGACAAAUUAAAAUAGGAGGAAGACCCAAAUGAUAAUUUCCAAUAGAUGACCCAUCCAUUUGGACAAACUAAAACAAUAGGAAGUCUUAAUUUAAUUUGUCCCAACAGAUUCCCUAUCUGUUGCAGCAGAUAGGUCAUUUGUCAGUACAAAUUAAAAUAAUAGGAAGACCUAUUUGAUUUCUAAAAUAGACGAGACAUAUAUUGCAACAGAUAAUGUAUCUGAUGCAACAUGUUAGUCAACUGUUGUAACAGAUGCAUAUAUCUGUUUGAUAAUUUUUAGCAGAUGUGUCAUCUGUUGAAAUAGAUUUGUAGCCUGCUUAUUUGUUGGAACAGAUGAUACAUGUUCACCUUCUUCAGCUGGUGUUGCUCUCCAGUGGCCCUUGUAUAUUGAUCAAAAGUGUAAGACAAAGACAGAGGAGUUGCAAUUUUGCUUUUUUCGAUGCUUCAUGAUGCCUUAAAAAUUUCUUUCCUUCUCUUUUUAGCCGCCUUAAUCUUUGAUGGAAUGUAUGGAUAUGGACCUCUUUGAUGGAAUGACACCCCUCUUAUAUGUCAAUUCCUUUAUAGAAGCAGUUAAUGCAUUAAUAACAUUAAUCACUCCAUCAAGUUUCCCCUUGCAAUCUUGACAUUUGCAUAUAGAACAUUUGCUAGGAGGGGCAAAAUCUGUAAAAUAUCAUAAUCAUAAUGGUUUAUUGUUUCAAAAACUACAAUAGGAGCAUCAUUAGCCCCAACAGCAGCACCACUACCACCACCAACAACUUCAUCAUCACUAACACCAUCAGUAACAACAAUCCCACCUCUAAAAUUAUUGUUUUUCUUGUGAUGGUUGUUGCUCCAAACAGUUCCUUUUUAAUUCUAUCAAUGACCUUAGGGUCUGAUAGAGAUUGCACAGACGGUAAAGUAAGAAAAAAUGACAUCUUCAACUCUCGAUUGAUCGGAACAAGCCACGGAUGCAUAAUCUAAAAUAAAUCAGUACAUAUAUUAGAAUGAUGAUUAAAUGAUUUUUAAGAAUUAUUAAUUAAAAUAAAAAUUUAAUUAGAAUUAAACUUACCGCUUCCUUCGAGGGCUUGAAGAUAUUAAUAAAUUUUACAUUUUUAUUAGUUUUGGCCGACAACCAUCUUAGGAUUCUUGAAAAUGAAACUUCUUCCUGGUAGUUCACUUGUUGUCUCAAAUAAGAAAUGACUUCAAAUGCCCAAACCUAUAAAAUAACACCAAUAAAUCAAAAUCGGUAUUGAAUAAAAAAUAAAUGAAUCAUAAUAAAGAAAAUAUUUACCACGAAAGCCCAUGGAAAGCCAUAUAAGUUGAUUGUCUUUGCCAUUAACGGAGUCAAUAAAUAUUUGACAGUCAUUUUGAAGCUUUCAUAACCCUAAUAUAGUUGUUAAAUGCCUCAAGAUCCUCACAGAGAUUUAUUAAACCAAGUGAUAUGUUGUUGUUAACAUCUCUCGCCCAAAGAAUAUUAUGUACAAACCAAACCAAGCACAAUGAUUGUUUGUGCUUCUUUGAAAGUCUUUUACUUUUCAGUGCUUCUAUCAGAUUUUUGUUUUUGAAGCUUGGACCAUCAAGGGACACCAACUUAUCAUUAUCACUUGACUUGCCUUUGCCUUUUUUGGGUGUGCAGGAUGUUUUUCUUAGGGUUAGCAUAGGUAUGGGAUGAGAAGAGGGUAACAUUUUAAUCCAGUAACUAUGGAAAACUCCUUCCAACCAAACCAAACAGGCAUGCGACAAUAAUUUAUCCACAGCUCAUCCAUCUUAUCUUUAUUUUCAUACAUAAACCUACGCUUGAGAAGAUCAUAUAUUGUCCUCCGACAAAUCAAGAUAUUGCCCAAUGCAACUGUCCCUGAAAUAAGCAUCCAAUUUGUGGUCUCAAAAUAUUUUUUAAAUGCGUCAAAAGAUUUUUCAUGAUUGACUUAACCACGAAAUCACCAGUUAAAUCUGUGGCACCAUCGCACUACAUUCUCACAAGAUAACUAUCAAUAUUGAAGGUUUUGACCAACUCUUUAGUGGAAGGGCUAUUAGCAUUUGGAUCAUCUCCUUUGAAACAUUCCUCAUCCCCAUGUUCACUAUCUUCUGCUUCUGAUUGAGAUAACGCUUGUAAAGCAAGCUUAUAGAAUAGUUGAUGUAGCCCAGCUGUUUUACUCAGACUUAUUCAGUUUCUUUUCUUUUGGGGAGCCAUAUUAUAAAAAAUAACAGGAAAAUAAAAAAGAUUAUAAUUGAUUAAAGCAUCGUUAAAAAAAAGAAUAAUGGUAAAUCUAACAUGUACAACACAAUAAAAUAAUAGUUCUAAUAGAUCACACAUAUAUUGCAACAGGUGUGUUAUCUGUUACAACAUAUAACUAACCUGUUGCAACGGAAGAUUAAUCUAUUGUAAACAAUAAAAAUAGCUUUUAUACUAUUGAGAUUUCUUCCAAUAGAUUACUCAUUUGUUGAAACAGAUUCCUGGUCUGUGCAACAAAUCAACUGUCAAUAUUGUUUAGAUUUCUUCUAACAGAAGCGUCAUCUGUCGCAACUGAUGAAUUAUCUGUUGGGAGAAAUUAACCUGUUGCAACAGAAAAGUAAUCUGUUGUAAACAAUAAAAACCAUUUCUAUAUUAUUAUAAUUUCUUUCAACAGAUCACUCAUCUAUUGAAACAGAUAACUGGUCUGUGCAACAUAUCAAUUGUCAAUAUUGUUUAGAUUUCUUUCAACAGAAGCCUCAUCUGUCGCAACAUAUGAAUUACCUGUUGGGAGAAACCAAAGUCUUAGAUAUGGCGUCCUGUUGAAAUAGUUGAUAGGAUUUCAAACAACAGAUUGUUUAUUUUUUGCAUCAUAUGGGUCAUCUGUUGCAUCAGAUUGUUCAUCUGUUGCAUCAAAUAGUUCAGUUGUUGUAGAAAAAAAAUAAUAGCUAAAUUUUGCUCAAUAGAACAACAAGAAUAUCAACAGUUAAUUUCAAAUACACCAUGUUUACCAAGAACAACAACAAAUCAACCCAACAACAUCAACACAACACAAACACCAAGAACAUCAACAGUGAUAAAAAAAUACCAAAAUUGUUGUUUUAUUUGUACAAACACAAACAACGAAAAUCAAACUUCAAAAAACUCAAUAGAAACCAACAAAUCGAAUCAACAGUUCGACAACAAGAACUACAAGAACAACAAAAAAUCAUAUUUCACUCUAGAAAGAGAAGAGACGGAAUACUAGAAAUUAGGUUUUUCUUCGAUCCCCAUUUCAAAUUUAAGCAGCAAAUAUUGAAAUUGUUAACCAAUACUAGAAGAGAAGUUGGUACAAGUUUCUUUUUUUUUUUUAAUAACUAAAAGUCUAAUUUUUUACCUGUGAAAGAAGAACAAGGACAAUGAAGAACUCGAAGUUAUUGUCACCGGAGAACAAUGUUGUGACGUUGAUUGACCAUUGAAAGUACAAAAGGAACUCGAAGCCCAAUUAUUUGUAGACAGGAGGUUGAAGUCGCCCGAGAUUGAAGGGAGAAAUUUGCAGAACUGUUGGUUGGGAAAAGCUUGAGAGACACAAUCGAGAUAGAGAGAGAGGAGAGAGGAGAGAGACGGUUGAUUUGGAGAGGAGUGGGUUAUAGGUUGAUUUGUAUUUUUGAAAAAAUUAGAAAGCUUUGAAAAUAUUAAUCAAUUUUCCUAAUUAUGUUUGACCCUAAAUUGGUCAAUGUCAUCAAUCAUUCAUUCAAGACUUAAAUGACAAUUUUCCUUCAAUUUUCUCAAAUAUCUUAAAUAUAUUUUAACUUUUUAUUAGUGUAAACACUUUUAAGUUCAACGAAGUUGAUGGUAUCCGAAGAUUUGAUCCACUAAUCUCGACUUCACUAAUAUUUAUAAGAUCGAUCCUAUACGUCUUAUUGAAGCAACAUUUCAAUAUUCAUAUGAGUGAACUAGACAUUGCGUUUCUGUAAGUCCAAAUAAUUGCUAAUUUCAUUAAGAAUUAAAUCAACCCGCUUUCACGAUGGAGUUUGUCAUCAUGUCCAUGUUAUAACAGGCAUUUAAUAACGAGUUAAUACAUAAAAAUGAUUCUAAACUUGACACCGAAUUAUAACUUUGACCUUAAAUUUUGAUAGUGCACAAAUAGGACCUUUAACUAUUCAAAACCUGAACAAAUUGCAACCCCGUGCGUGAGUCUCAUUCGCGCCUAUGUGGAAGGUAAUCCAAUCACACGGUGCCACGUCGUUAAAAGGGCUGACUUUGAGAGAUGUCAUAUUUGUACAGUUUUAAAUAGUUAAAGGUCAUAUUUGUGCACUGUCAAAGUUUUGCUUUUUGUUUUAAAACGACGUCGUUAUUAUUAUUAUUAUUAUUAUUAUUAUUAUUAUUAUUAUUAUUAUUAUUAUUAUUAUUAUUAUUAUUAUUAUUAUUAUUAUUAUUAUUAUUAUUAUUAUUAUUAUUAUUAUUAUUAUUAUUAUUAUUAUUAUUAUUAUUAUUAUUAUUAUUAUUAUUAUUAUUAUUAUUAUUAUUAUUAUUNNNNNNNNNNNNNNNNNNNNNNNNNNNNNNNNNNNNNNNNNNNNNNNNNNNNNNNNNNNNNNNNNNNNNNNNNNNNNNNNNNNNNNNNNNNNNNNNNNNNNNNNNNNNNNNNNNNNNNNNNNNNNNNNNNNNNNNNNNNNNNNNNNNNNNNNNNNNNNNNNNNNNNNNNNNNNNNNNNNNNNNNNAACUAUAAUUUUUUAUUAUUAGUAUAGUUUCAUCUUUAAUUUAAUAUUUAAAUAAAUAAUAUUUAGAUAUAUUAUAUAACUUAAAUUCGUCCUCUGCUUUAUAAUACAUAUACAUACCCGCUCAAUUUUUUCAUAUGAGGCUGACCCGUCUAAUUAAUAAAUCUUCAAUAUUGCUCUUUUUCCGCAAUGACAAAAGAAAUUAGAUACUAUUUUCAUCUUUGAGCCGAAAACAAUAAAAAAAUAAUAGUUAAGAGUCAUUUAAAGGUCAUAUUUAUGCGGUUUGAAUAACUAAAGGUCAUAUUUGUUCACUGUCAAAGUUUAAAAUCAUAUUUAUGUAUUAUGCUUUUAGAUUUUAAGCUAGACGCGUCAGUUUUGCAUGUUGAACACGCGUUUUGCCACGUAGGAUUGGAGGUCAUAUUUGUGAAGUUUUGAAUAAUUAAAGGUCAUAUUUGUGCACCGUCAAAGUUUAAGGUCAAAGUUAUAAUUUGAUAUCAAGUUUAGGAUUAUUUUUAUGUAUUAACUCUUUAAUAACUCUUACAUAAUAACAGCAUACAAUAUACUGAAAUCACGCUCUCUAAAAGAAGAUUAGUGUUUUAACAACAAAAAGUGACUUGUUUUUACCUGUUGAACUUUUAUUAUUAGAAUGUUUACUAAAAGUUAAUUUUACCUGUUGAACUUUUAUUAUUAGAAUGUUUACUAUAAGUUAAGUUUUCAUUGUAUUUAGUUUAAGGGGUUUAGCAUUUCUUUGCCAUGUAUUUGUACUGCAUCUCUUUACAAUGCUUUCAUAACUGGAUCAACCAUAUUCUUACUUGAUCUCAACAUACACAGUAGGAAAACCACCAGCGCAUAUGCCAAAUUCUUUUAUUUUUCUUAAAUAUCCAAGUACUAACCAUUGCCUUACAAUGAUCAUUACUUGGACUACUAGUAAACCUUGAAAGCUUGCAAACAGCAAACGCGGUAUUGAGCCUAGUACAAUGCAUUGCAUACAUCAUGCAUGCUCUAAUUGUACCACACUUCUCUUAGAAUUUUCAGUCAACUUAAUACGAUAUGCAUGUAUGCCUGAAUGAUCAUCAAGCAUGACUUGGAAAUUGUGUCUUCAAAGUCGGGUAAAAAAUUGAUCUAGUGUUCCAAGGUAGCUUAGUGCAGUAAAGCUCCCGCUAUGCGCGGGGUGCGAGGAAGGGCCGCACUACAAGGGUCUGACAAAAUGAACGUGAUUCCUUCAAAUGAUAACCCUGCUAACAAGCAACUUUUCCAAUACUCAUGGAAGGUCCUGCCAAUGACUCAUUUGAGAUGCAGUCUGACAAACUUUUCCACUGCAAUAUCGUAGUAUUACUCUAUGGGCAGUUAUUCCUCUAGCCACGGUGAGGGUAGAAUCCAUUUACAGACAUGCCACCAUCAACACAUAUUAUCUGCCCAGUGAUGUAAGAAGAUGCAGGCAAACAAAGGAAUCCCACAAGAGAUGAAACCUCGGAUGGUUCUCCCAGGCGCCCAAGUGGAGUACGAUCAUAUACUUCUUGUAAAUAAUCUUUGUCACUCAGCACCUGAAUAUGAAAAAGGUAUCAGAUAUUAAUUAUCAUAAAACUGAAAAGUGGAAACUCAAACAUGAAGGAUUAGCUGCAGAAAAAACUUGACCCAUCUGUUGUUUAGUUGAGGUUUGGAAAAAUGUUAAAAAAAAAAAAGAAUAUUUGAUGCAGCUUCAAAUUUUGACAUGAUGCAAAUUAAUAUGAAGGCUUUUGCCUAGAUAAUUACAUAUUGAAGGGAUCGGCAUAGAGAAAAGACCAAGUAAGUUGUUCUUGUCCUUGCUACUGACAAAGAGUCGUCGUUCUUGACUUUGCCUAAGCUUUAUAAGCUGCUCUUAUAUCUGAUUCUUUAUACGUCGACUCUUACCCCAACACGUCUAGCUCACACUAUAUGCACGCAUAUAGAACAUUGUACGAAAUAGCAAUAUAACAUGAAACUGAGAGUAUACACUGCCACAAAGGGGAAAUUGGUGCAUUGCAUGCCACAAAGAGCACAUACGCACAGGUUAUGAGCUUGGGCCUGAUAGAAACCUCUCCUCAGAUUUUUUUAUUUUUUUUUGGGCAUGAAAAUCAAGUUCAAACUAACCCACUGGUGCAACUCUCUAACGAUGCCUAGCUCAAAUUCCUUUUUGCCAAUUUCCUGUGUGUCAUACACAAAAUCUGCCUCUGUCCGCUAUCCGAUUCCUCUCAUCUCAGCAACCAUUGAGUGCCUCCUCUCACCGUUCACAUGUUGGCAGUGGCUCAGCUUCACUUCCUGGAUUUAGAGUUCAACUUGAACAAAUGACUAGCAGGCUCACCUAUCACUGCUUCUCUCACUUCUUCUGUCUAUACCAUGACUUAAUACUUGAGUUUGCAGUUCAUAGUAACUGCGACAGCAACAGCAGCAGAGUAAUGGCUCACAAUGCAAGAGACCAUCACAGAAUGACAGCAAUCCAGACUGGACAUCUCUCGUCUUGUCUGCAUUCCACUGGUCAUGAGUAUUUCCCCCCAUGACUACCUUUUCCUUUUCUUCCUUUUUAUUAAGAAAGUAGGUCAAUGUGGGCAGUGUGCUGCAAUAAUCAAUUCAGCCAAAAUCAUUGUGUUCUCCUUUUUCUCCCAAAAGUUCAAACAAUCUAAAAAUACAAUUUCCUUCUAUGUUCAUUCAAACCACUAUUGGCCAUAUGCUCUUUAUGGAGAAAUCAAAGAAGCUAUACAAACCCCGAGUCUAUUCAUCUGGUACCUAGAGUAACUCAAUGAUACCCAUGGGAAUCCAGGUCUCCAAUUCAUCUAGGUCCAUAGUUUCAGAAUUUAAGGCAAACUAAAAUCGCUAGAAGGAAGUUUUACAAUAACCAACUCAAACCCAUUGUCAAAUCCUACAGCCAAUUCUCCUUGGGGAAGGUUCUAGAGUUCUUAUAAUCCAGCACCUGGGCUUCAGAAUGAUCUUGGACAUAUUUAUGCGCCCGGUUGUCGUAGUUUACCCACAUUUAUCCUAGUUUUGAGAAUGAUAACUAAGUAAAAUUGUUUGUUUUGAUUGAAUAUUCGAUAGUGAACUAACCAAUGUGAAUAGGUGUUUUGCAAGAAAAGGUGGUGGAAAUUAAUUCAUGUGAGCAAAAAAUGAAGGUUCGGAGCUACUUGGCAGUGUCCAGAAGCGUGAUGCGGAAAAAAGCGAAAAGGCUUCGCAUCACACAUUAUGCGACUGCAUCACCAAAAGUGAAACGCAAUUUAAUAGAAGAAAGACCUAAUAGAGCAUUCAAACAAUAAUUAUAACUGAAAAGACCACAAAAACUAUAUAAUCAACAAUAAAGACAAUAUAUAAAAGAAAAAGUUUAAAUGAAACACCAUGAUCACUGAAACACCUAUUGCAAGUGAUAAAGAAAUGGACCUUGGGCCUAACUCAACCUCAAAAGUUAGCUCAUGAUAUAAGGAGACCAAGGACCCUUUAACCCACCGAUGUGGGACUCCAACACCCCCCGCAUGCCCAAGGCUGGACAUCUAGAGCAUGGACAAUAUAAGACGGGGGGCCCAACAUCGGAAACAAUGAACUGGGUGGGCCUGGCUUUAAUACCAUAAUAAAGAAAUGGACCUUAGGCCUAAUUCAACCUCAAAAGCCAACUCAUGAGGGGAGGAUUGCCCAAGACCAUAUAAGGAGACCAAGGACCCUUUAACCCACCGAUGUGGGACUCCAACAGCAAGAAACAAAACAGUUCAACAAAGCACAAAAAAAAAAAAAAAAAUCAAAUCUAAAUUAAUAAUGUUUCAAUCUAAAGCUCUUCUAGCUCAUUAAGAUUGUCCAAAUUUUUUAUUCCUUCAGUAUCACUAUAAUGCUCAUCAUUUCAACUUCCUCAUCUCCUGUUGAAGUAACAACUUCUUUUCCUUUAUUGUAUAAGCUUGAAGUACAACCCCUUAAACCAUAACGACGCUCAUCAACUCCACUUGCCUCAGCAACAACACCCCAAGUGAAUACAGUAUCUCCAUCAAAAAUUGAUUCAUCUUAAGUAUUCUCAAUACCAGUUGUCCAUUCAUUGGCAUCAUCAAUGUAUUCCAAGCUAAUUGGAUCAAAUCUAUUGGAAACGUUGUAACGACGUCUCAAUGUUCUGUAGUACUUUAUGAAAACCAAGUCACUGAGGCACUUUAGAGUUAGUCUAUUCCUCUUUUUGGUAUGGAUCUGCGAAUAAAUAUUGGCAAGUAUAAAGUCAAGACAUUUGAGAUAUAAUAUACUUAUCUCAAUAUACUAAAACUUUUCUUUAACACUUACGCAUACAUGUUCGAACACGCUCUAAUUUCUUUCACACCCAAAUGUGCUACAAGCCCAAAAUUCUGAUGGCAAACUUUUGUAACUUUGGAGUUUCUAAACCAUUAAGCCUCCACCAUUCAACUAUUAGAGUAAAGUAAUUAUUCAAAAUUAGCAACUAUAAAGAAAUAACUUAAAGUGUUAAUUUAAUAGAAACAUAGAAGGAGUCAUUCACCUGGUGACUUCUUGUCUCUUUGUCUUAUGGCGGUUGGUAUUCCACCAAAAUAUCCCUCAACAUUUUGGUAAGAACUAAUCUGAUCGGUUAUUUUAUCUUGCAUAUCUUCAUCACCAACCAUCUUUGCAAUGCACGCAUAGAAUCCCAUCAUCAAACUCUUAUUCAGUAAAUCAUCCUUAUGAUUAUAAUAGAGUGAUGGGUUCAAGACAUUAGCAGUUGCAUGCAACGGUUUGUGAAGUUUAUCACUCCACUUUUUAUCAAUGGUCUUAAAACAACAACAACAACAACAAACCCAGUGUAUUCCCACUUACGUGGGGUCUGGGGGGGUAAGAUGUACGCAGUCCAUACCUCUACCUCUGCUGAGGUAGAAAGGCUGUUUCCGAAAGACCCCCGGCUCAAGUAACGAGAUAUCACACAAACACAUAGUACAGCACAGAAGCAGAUGACAUAACAUAGAUACGGCACCCAUAAGGAAUAUAAAACAGAGUAAAGCAUGAAUGCAGGAAUAUAAAGCAGAGGACAGCACACAUUUUCAUAAUAAACAUGGAACACGGAACACGGAACAUUGAAUACGGAAUCCUAACAGGAAUACCCCCCACCAAUUAAUUCCCUGCACUAGCGACCCGCACUGGCCCUAAUCCUCUGCCGUAAUUCGCGUCUUCCAGACCUUCCUAUCUAGGGUCAUGUCCUCGGUGAGCUGUAACUGUUCCAUGUCCCGCCUAAUCACCUCACCCCAGUACUUCUUCGGUCUACCCCUACCCCGUCUAAAA
rnacentral:lncRNA from 1 species